CGGAAGAAAAUUUUCUGUUUGUUUGAUUUUAGGAAAAACUUCAAAUAUCAAUCAUGUAGUUUCGCACUUUUUUAUUUUAGUAUCUUUUGGUUUAAAGUGUAUCAAUUUAAUUAGUACCCCGUGAUUUUAUUUUUCUCUUUUUAUUAUUCCUUCCACUAAUCUUCUUUCGUUAAAUCUGUAACAAAGUUAAAACUAAAAGGUACUAAAAUGAAUAUUCGAUAAACCUAGGUGGAGUAUCUGAAACUUUUUGUAUAUAAUUUAACGAAAUGUUAACAGAAGAGUGUUAGGAUUUGGUUAGAUUUAUAGAUUAAUUAUAGUUGGAUUACGAUUAAUAUUUAAAUCUGUUGGAAAUAAAUUAAGAUUUAAAUAUUAAUUAGCGGAUAAAUCUAACUAGAUUAGGAUUAAUAUUUAAAUCUAUUAGAAGGAACGGCUGGCAGAGAGCACCUUGGGUGUGCCGUACCACAAAGAGAGAGAGAGAGAGAGAGUUAACGAGUUAAUGCACCUAGUGCACGGGUGUACCAACAAGAAGUCUUCUUUUGCGUUUAUAGAAGACGAGAGAAUGGUAGAAAAAAUUCAGAAAAAGGGCUCGGAUUGUAGCUAUUCUGUGCAGAAGAUGAGUCAGGUGUAAUUUUUUCUUAUUUAAUGAAUCUUAUUUUAUCUGUAUAUUUUUUUCUCUUAUGAUUGUAUCAACUUUUGCUAAGGAGACGGGUUUAUGGUAAAAAUCCGAUUUGAUGCUUCCGUUGCGGAAUCCAAACAAUCGGUACCGGAUCCACAGCAGUCGGUAUCGGAGCAGGUUGCAGAUUCAUAAGAUCCGGUACCGAGGCGAGUACCGGAUUUCCAGCAAAGAGCUGACGAAAAGAAAAAAAUGAAACCACAUGGUACUAAAUUAAUACACUUUAAACUACAGGAAACUAAAGUGAGAAAGUCCGAAACCACAGAGGUGGUAUUUGAACUUUACCCUUGAUUUUAAGGAAAAUAGUUUCUAGAAAAGCUUUUUCUAGAUAACAUGAAAAAGUUACCUAUUUUUUUCUGAACUUUCUAUCCAAACAAAUAAAAACUGUUGAAAGAGCGUUUUCUAUUUUUUUUCAAAUUUUUUUUUUUAAUAAUUUUUCAAAGAACCAAACACACCUCCUAUAGUAUCUCGUGAGCUGCACCAAAAUGUUCGUUGAAGCUUAAAUUAUUCAGUGUUCAAACGGCUACUAACAGAGAUGAAAAAAAUCGAAUACAAUCAGAUUUUUGACAAAACCAUAUUGUAUCUAUAUUUUUCUUCAGAUGCGAAUUCAGAUGCGGAUAUAUAUAUAUAUAUAUAUAUAUAUAUAUAUAUAUAUAUAUAUAUAUAUAUAUAUAUAUAUAUANNNNNNNNNNNNNNNNNNNNNNNNNNNNNNNNNNNNNNNNNNNNNNNNNNNNNNNNNNNNNNNNNNNNNNNNNNNNNNNNNNNNNNNNNNNNNNNNNNNNNNNNNNNNNNNNNNNNNNNNNNNNNNNNNNNNNNNNNNNNNNNNNNNNNNNNNNNNNNNNNNNNNNNNNNNNNNNNNNNNNNNNNNNNNNNNNNNNNNNNNNNNNNNNNNNNNNNNNNNNNNNNNNNNNNNNNNNNNNNNNNNNNNNNNNNNNNNNNNNNNNNNNNNNNNNNNNNNNNNNNNNNNNNNNNNNNNNNNNNNNNNNNNNNNNNNNNNNNNNNNNNNNNNNNNNNNNNNNNNNNNNNNNNNNNNNNNNNNNNNNNNNNNNNNNNNNNNNNNNNNNNNNNNNNNNNNNNNNNNNNNNNNNNNNNNNNNNNNNNNNNNNNNNNNNNNNNNNNNNNNNNNNNNNNNNNNNNNNNNNNNNNNNNNNNNNNNNNNNNNNNNNNNNNNNNNNNNNNNNNNNNNNNNNNNNNNNNNNNNNNNNNNNNNNNNNNNNNNNNNNNNNNNNNNNNNNNNNNNNNNNNNNNNNNNNNNNNNNNNNNNNNNNNNNNNNNNNNNNNNNNNNNNNNNNNNNNNNNNNNNNNNNNNNNNNNNNNNNNNNNNNNNNNNNNNNNNNNNNNNNNNNNNNNNNNNNNNNNNNNNNNNNNNNNNNNNNNNNNNNNNNNNNNNNNNNNNNNNNNNNNNNNNNNNNNNNNNNNNNNNNNNNNNNNNNNNNNNNNNNNNNNNNNNNNNNNNNNNNNNNNNNNNNNNNNNNNNNNNNNNNNNNNNNNNNNNNNNNNNNNNNNNNNNNNNNNNNNNNNNNNNNNNNNNNNNNNNNNNNNNNNNNNNNNNNNNNNNNNNNNNNNNNNNNNNNNNNNNNNNNNNNNNNNNNNNNNNNNNNNNNNNNNNNNNNNNNNNNNNNNNNNNNNNNNNNNNNNNNNNNNNNNNNNNNNNNNNNNNNNNNNNNNNNNNNNNNNNNNNNNNNNNNNNNNNNNNNNNNNNNNNNNNNNNNNNNNNNNNNNNNNNNNNNNNNNNNNNNNNNNNNNNNNNNNNNNNNNNNNNNNNNNNNNNNNNNNNNNNNNNNNNNNNNNNNNNNNNNNNNNNNNNNNNNNNNNNNNNNNNNNNNNNNNNNNNNNNNNNNNNNNNNNNNNNNNNNNNNNNNNNNNNNNNNNNNNNNNNNNNNNNNNNNNNNNNNNNNNNNNNNNNNNNNNNNNNNNNNNNNNNNNNNNNNNNNNNNNNNNNNNNNNNNNNNNNNNNNNNNNNNNNNNNNNNNNNNNNNNNNNNNNNNNNNNNNNNNNNNNNNNNAUAUAUAUAAAAUUCUAUAGAGUCCGGCUAUGGUGCUUGUAAAAGUACCAAGUAUUUGGUGCUUGUAAAUUUUUUACCAUUAGAUCUACGCCUUUGAUCAUUUUCACCCGUUAGAUUAUACUAUUCAACUAACCACCCACUCAACCCUAGGGGGCCCACAUCAUCUUAACCGCACAUUUCUUAAUCCAAGGGCUAAAAACUUACAAGCACCAAUGACUUGGUACUUUUAAAAGCAUAAGAGCUCAAUUCUAUACACAUAUAUAGUAGGGCUACCAUACUAUUAUGAAUAUAGAGCCCUUCAUACUCAUAAGUUGUCUUCGAUGUUAGGAUUUUCGAAUCGACGAUCCACACUGUUAAACAUGAUCUAGAGUAUUUGAAACUUCUAGAAAAUAAAUUUCGUAAUUUUUCGAAAUCAUUAUAAAAUCCAUCAAACGGGUAUAAAAUGAACGGUCAAAAUCAAACGACAUCUUAAAAAUGGAUGAUUAGAUCCUUCAAUUUAAGAUCGGAGUUAUUAAUCUUUAGAUAGGUAGUGAAUAGAAUUUUCUAUCAAAAAUUCAACCUAUUCCGAUUCUUUUACACCGUUAAACUAGCAAAUAUUCCAUACCGGUCGGCCGUUAAAAUUUGUCAAUUUUGUGAGCUUUUGAUUGUAGGGUAAAUGAUAUCGAAAAAUUAUAAAAUUUAAUUUCUAUAAGUUAUAAAUACUCUUGAUAAUGUUUAACGGUAUGGAUCGUCGAUUCGAAAGCUCUAUCAUCGAAAACAACUUGUGAGUACGAAGUCGAUCGUACUUAGAGUAUAGUAGCCGGACUAUAUAUAUAUAUAUAUAUAUAUAUAUAUGGGGUAUUGUGCUAUUAGGAGCACAGCAGUCCUUGUGCUCCUAACUUUCUAACCAACUAUCAAGUUUGAUGGCUGGUUAGAAUGAAAGAGGGAUUUCUCCCCAAUAUCUCUUCCCUCUCUCAUUCUAACCACCCAUCAAACUUGAUGGUUGGUUAGAAGUUAGGAGUAUAAGGACUGCUGUAUUCCUAAUAGCACAGUAGUCCUACUCUCUCUCUCUCUCUAUAUAUAUAUAGGUAUAUGUAUAUAUAUAUAUAUAUAUGGAAUUGAGCUCCUAUGCUUUUAAAAGUACCAAGACAUUGGUGCUUGUAAGUUUUUAGCCUUUAGAUUAAAAAAUAUGUGGUUAGGAUGAUGUGGGCGCCCUAGGGUUGAGUGGGUGGUUGGUUGAAUAGUAUAAUCUAACGGGUGUAAAUGAUCAACAGUGCUGAUCUAACGGUUAAAAAACCUAAGCACAAAGUGAUUGGUGCUUUUACAAGCACCAUAGCCGGACUAUAUAUAUAUACAUAUAUAUAUAUAUAUAUAUAUAGAGAGAGAGAGAGAGAGAGAGAGAGAACUAGGCUGGAAAUACUAUCAAUAGCACCAAGUUAUUGGUGCUAUUAAUUUUUUAGCCCUUGUAUAUAUAUAUAUAUAUAUAUCGAAUGCCAAAUUUUCAUUACCAUAUCCGUUUAAAAUGAAAUCGGAUUCAGAUAUGAACCGGAUUUGUAUUUAGAUAUUAUUAGAAUAAUAACACAUACUAAUAUGUAUAUAUAUAUAUAGAGAGAAAGAGAGNNNNNNNNNNNUAUAUAUAUAUAUAUAUAUAUAUAUAUAUAUAUAAACUAAAUUUAGCACGAAUAAAACACGCAAUAUAAUUAAAGGUCCACACUCAUGUUCAAACAACUACUAUUAUAACUUACAUACACAUACAAAAUGACGCAGUCGGAAAAAAUAAUUAGGAUAAGUUUUUUUAUUUUCUAAACUUUAUUUUUGGUAAUUUUGUUUUAGAGAUUUGUUUUAGAUUAUUGGGAUUUUUUAUGAGAAAUAAAUUUCUAAAAAUAAAUUUCUAAAAAUUAGGGAAAUAGCUUAAUUUAGAGGUUCUAAAUUAGGAUUAGAUAUAUUUGUAUUAGAAAAAUUGCUAAAAUUUUGGGAUUUGAUUUAUAGUAGGAUUCGGAUAUCUUCUCUAUAUAAACAUAGUAUUCGGUUAAUUUAAUAAGUUUUUAGAGUUGAUUAAUAAUAUUUUCAUCUUCGUUGAAGAAUUGUUUCUUUGUUUAUCCCUCUCUUUCUGUCCUUGUGCUUUUUCUCCCCAAGUCUUGUACCAACAGCUUCAGAACCUUCGACAAGACAGAGCCAUACGGUGGCCAAUUACAUUGAGAAGUUCUAUCAAUUGAUUGUCCGGAAUGAUCUAACAGAAUGAGGAACAACAUGUUGCGAGAUACAUUGGAGGAUUACUGUUGUCGAUUCAGGAUGUGUUGAGUUUGCACGCAAUCUGGACGAUAUUAGAGGUGUACCAAUGUGCUUUGGCAGUGGAGAUGCAAUAGAGUAGUAUUGGAUCGUGAAUGAAUCAAAUCGAUUCAGGACCAACUACGAUCUGAGGCGACAGGGGAUUCAUUUGGAGGCUAAACGGAAAACAAGAUCUGUUUCAACAACUGAACCGGGAGCGAAUAGAGCCACACUGAGCAAUAAAGUUGGAGUCCGUUGUUUUUAGUGUGCCACCUAGCCCGAGAUUGUCGGAAGAAUAAUAUAGCUAUCCGGAAAAACAACUUUACAUUGAGUAGAAUCUAGAUGGUGAACCAGAUGAGAUCGGUGAACCCUCUUGAAGGGUCUUCCCCAUACUAUAUACCCUCACUCGAAGAACUUCUUUAGCUAGACUUUCACCUUAUCUUCUCUGUAAGUAUUAAUGCCACAACUGACUCCAUCUUAAGGGUUUCAAUAUGGAUCAAGUUUAUGAUCAAAUUGUUCCAUGAUUUCGGCAUAGAGUAAAGUAAAGCACUUAUCUUUUCUUCCUUAUUUUUUCUGAUGUCUAAGGCCGUGAGCUUGCUCAUAAUAGAAUUAAAAGUAUUUAGAUGUUUUUGAACUGGUGCCCCAUCAUUCAUCUUUAGAUUGUAUACUUAUCGUCUCUAGAAGAUUUUGUUCAUCAAGACUUACCCUCAUAGAGGUUUCUCAAUUUCUCCUAAAUUCCUUUUGCAGUAGUCUCGGUCUUCAUGUUAAAUAGCACCGAAUCAUCUAAUGCCAAAUAUAGGUUUGUCAAAACCAUUUUAUCUUUCUUUUCAAAUAUCUUAUCUAUCUUCCUUUUAAUUUGGCUUAUUCUCUUUUCCUUGUAGGGCGAUCUCACACGCAUCUUUAAUCAAGGCUACUUACAUUGUCAGUUUCCACAAUGCAAAAUUUGUUCCAUCAAACAAAGAAAUUUGAUACUUUGUUGUUGUAACUUUUCCCACCAUUGUUUCAACAUCAACGUGUCGGAUCGUUGGCGCUAACCAUUAAUCCCAAAUGCUUGAGCUGUUAGAAAUACGUAACAAAUUCACUUAAAGCGUAUAAAUAUAGCGCCCACGGGUCUCGAAUGUGACUCGGCCCAACCAGUCUCACGCCAUUUUGAUUAUGACUCAACCCAUCAUACUCCUGCCACCAGACAGGAUGCUGGCUCAUUUAUGCCAACAAUCCCCCCUCCAGCACCUGCACACAUUUGCAGCAUGCAGGAAUCAAACCCGAGACCUCUGGCUCUGAUACUACUUGUCGGAUCGUUGGCACUAACCAUUAAUCCCAAAAGCUCGAGCUGUUAAAAAUACACAACCAAUUCACUUAAAACAUAUAGAUACAGUGCCCACAAGUCUCGAUUGUGAUUCGGCCCAACCAGCCUCACGCCAUUUCGAACCUGACUCGGCCCACCCAGCCUCACGCCAUUUCGAUCAUGACUCGGCCCAACAUGGCCUCCCGCCACAGGGUAGGAUGCUGGCUCAUUUAAACCAACACAAUAAACUAUAAAGAACCAAAUGUUCUGAUACCAAUUAAAGAGAUCUACCAAAGGGUUAUUAAGUACACCUUAAACGCACAGGGCACAUGAGCGCAGUAAAAACAUGAUCUUUCAUAGAUGACAAUAGAUGAAAACUAUUGUAAAAAAUAAACAAGAAGACAACAAAGCAAUAAAACGAACAAGUGAGUGCGGGAACAUAGAAUUUACGCAUUUGUCAAUAAUGUGUUGACUUAUGUCCAUGGACAAGACAAUCUCAAUACAUUCUUCAAUUAAUCCAUGGUACAAAUGUACAACGAGUAAGAAUGGAAUAUAAGAAUCUCUCUCUCAAGAGAUCUCCAUGUUUUCCUUUUAAUUAGGGUAUCUACAAUGAAGCUCUCAACUCUAAUAUAUGAAUUACAAGGGUUUAUAACCCUAAAACCUCAAUUCUAGUAGCAGAGGAUUUGCACCAUCCAUCUGAGUCCUAAUUCACUACUAGCCAUUGAUCUCCUCUUAAAAACCCUCUCCAAGGUGUUCUUGAACCAUCUCUAAUCUUAAGGCACAAGAUUAUAUCAAAUUAGAGUCAAAUCCAACUUACCCUGUCCGCCACGGAGUUGAGUACCGGUAUUCAAAUUGAAGUACUGGUAUUGAAAUACCCCCAGAAUUUUAGUAACGAUACUCAAAAUUGCACAUUGGUAUUCAAUACAAAAGGCAAUUUUUCACCGCUUCGGAUUCUAAGGUACUUCUCAGUACCAGUACUCAAAUUUCAAUUUUCGGCACUUACAAUCCAAAAAUCUCAAAUUUUUUAUUUUUACUAGGAUAUCGACUCGAAACAUGACUUCAUAUAAUCCAACAUUAUUUAUAGUUCUAGAUUUAAAAAGAAAAAUGUAAAGAAAGUAAAAUUUGUUAGUUUAUAAAUUUGUUUAUUAGUUUAUUUUUAUUUGUUUUUGUUGAAAAGUUGUGUACCUUAUGAAAGGGUAUGUCCUUUUGUAAGGUUGUGUCUUUUGGCUUAGAGUCAUGUCCUCCUUUAGUAAAGGAAUGUCUACUUUCGUNAAGAUCCGAUCAAAGAAGACGACGAUAGUGAUGCAUAAACAAGCUUAAGAGGGAAUGUUAGUUUAUAAAUUUGUUUAUUAGUUUAUUUUUAUUUGUUUUUGUUGAAAAGUUGUGUACCUUAUGAAAGGGUAUGUCCUUUUGUAAGGUUGUGUCUUUUGGCUUAGAGUCAUGUCCUCCUUUAGUAAAGGAAUGUCUACUUUCGUGAAGAGUUGCGUCGUUUCAUACUCUAUAAAUAGAGGGCAUGUAAUUUGUUGUUGUGGGUGGAUCAAAUUGUAUUAUUCAGUUGUAGUGUACUGAAGUUUAGUUAUAUUUAAUAAAGUUUGUUAUUCUAGUGUUAAAUAUUUUUUGUAAUUCAUUUAUAUAUUAGCCCACCAACAAAAUUUUCCUUCGGUAGAAAAUAAAAGACACUUAUGAAUCAUGUGUUGUUAAAUUGGACUAGCCAUGCUUCACGCAUUGAUUUUCCCCUAAUUUGUUUUAUCCAAUUGGAUACAAUGUUUAGCCACAUAUAGGCCCCUUGCUUAGUAAUAUAAUAAAGAUUUUGUUUGGCACUACAUGACUCUACUGGAUUAGAAGGGUCACAAGGAGAUUAGUUUAAGAUUUGAUUACAAAAUAUAUAUAUAUUUUUUAAUGGAAUGAGCUUAUUGAUUAUUUAGUUGCCCGUUAACUAGGCUAACUAGACACCCGAUCACACGUUCAUGUAGCCAAUUUAAUUGUUUUGAACGGUGCGCCGCGGUUGCCUCAAUAUGUUUUCAAGUUCACUUGUAAAUUAAGCUAAAUGCUUUCAAAAGUUAGUCUCAUUUUUUUAAUUAGAAAAUAUGUGUAAUUUGAAGCAUCAUGGAUAAAAGUUAGUGUUGGAAAGCAUAAUUUAUGGGUAAGCAAUUGAAGAUGAUCUCAAAUUUUGAUGAUCUACCAACUUUACCUAGCAAUGAAUUAGGAUAUAUGAUUUGGAAAAAUUAACUGAAACGAAAACAAGAACUUCUUGGAUAUAUGUUAAGAAUUUGAUACUUGCUACGACAACACUGAUUAUUAGGGCUGAGAUCCUAACAAACCACUACAACAAAAACUCUGUAACUUGUUAACUACACUGCCGACCUACGAGAAAUCACUUAUUAUGCUCUAAACACUUGUUAUAGUUUAUAUGUUUAAUAUAUGAUCGAUCAAUGAAAAUAAAAUGAGAGGGUAAAAAAAAGGUAUAAUUGUGUGGGACAUUUUGAGAUGCAAGAGAAUAGAAGAUGAUCGAUUUAGGGUUUUGCUUUGCUGCUCAAAUGAGCCCAACUCAAACCCAACUCAACCAAACUUGCCCUUCCACAUGGUCAAAGGGACAAGAGAAAUAAAUAAGCACCAAAAGUUGAGAGCCUUGUCGAUCCCCUGGACUCUCACCAAACACUAUGCAGGAAGAGGUGCAAUGUGGUGUAGGUAUUGCAUGCCCACUCCUAUAUACAUUGGAUUAUUAUUAUUUUAACCUUCUUUGCUUUGUACAUAAACACCAUCAAUAUAUAUAUAUAUUCCUCCAAACCAACCUAACUAGCAUAGGAGAGAGCCAAAAAUUCUCUCUCUUGCUUCUUCUUCCUCUCCUCCUAAUCACAGCUAUGAAGCUAAAAAGCCAUGGGAAUAAGCAGAGAGGAGGAGGGGUUAGCAUAGCCCUCAGAGAGCACAAGGCUAGGCUUUACAUCAUUCGGCGAUGCAUCGUCAUGCUCCUUUGUUACCACGAUUGAUCAUUCGCUUCCUCUGCCUUUUCUAGUUGUUGUGGGCCUGAGCGUCGUCAUGAAUUUUAAAUGCAGUGGAUGAGUCAGCUCCAUAUGUUGUGCACAAUCCUUUUUCUUUAAUCUCUUUUUUCCGCCAAUAUGGUGGUUUCUUGUACAUAUGGAAUAUAUAGUCUUUAGGAGAAUUUUUGUUUUUGUUCCUCUUGCUUUUCAGCAUAUAUAUGAAAGAGUGCAUUAAUCUCUAAAUUCUAGUUAUUUUGGGCUCAAUUUUCUUCUUGUUUUAACACCAUAAGAGGCAUUUUUUUUGGUAUGGAAGUGAUUAAACAUAAUAAUCCAGUUUGAUGACACUUUUGAUCCUUGGAACUGAUCCUUAUGUAAAAUUGCCCUUUGUUUGUUUAUGAAAUUGCUCUAUCUAUCAUCUAACUUAUUAUCGCUAAGUUGACUAUGUUAAAUGGAAUCCUUUUCAAGUACAAAAGAAAAAACUAUCGCAACGGCCACAUGAUUAGUCAUAAUGCAGAUAAUUAUCAACUAAUUGCAUCUUUGAUGAGGAGCAAGUUGACCAAGUAACCAAAAUUAGGGAUCAGAUGCAUCAUACAAAAUGUUGUCGGCAGACUGACUAUACAGAAGCAUCGCUGCAAAAGAAUCAGACAGGUUGAAGUGAGAGAUCCCGUGAAAUCUGUUCUAACAUGUCAUCAAACCAACAAGAUGAAACACAGAACAAUAUAUUGAUUUUUAUUAGUUAUAUUUAUUAUUGACUAAAAUAUAUAGAUCUAAUUUUAUGUCUCGUGGUGAUCGACAAUAAGCUUAAAAGAUUAAUAAGUUAAGUUAGAUGAGCUCAAUAAGUUGAGUAGGAUUGCAGUUCACAAUAGACCUAAUAGUACAAGAUCCAAUAAUAGGCUUAACGUUUACAUGGGUUGAGUCAGAUCGAAGCCUGUAAAGCGUUGUAACUGAGCCCUUAAGUACUUUAGAUGUGCUAUUUAUAUCAGCAUGUAUUUUUAGAAUAGUUGGUUAGUGCUUACGAUCUACAAUUCUCCCAGUGUUAAGGUAUUCAGAGAGAAUAUUGAUGCAUGGAAUGGGUUAAUUCAAGUCUUGUAGCUAUAUAUAGGGGGCCGGAUUCGAGGUUCAGUGUAGGGAUUUAAUGAAUCUAGACAAAUCAAGUACAUGUUUAUGCCUGCAUCUCAAACAACUUUUCUACUAUAAGAAGCACUAGACUACAUGCGGCAAACAAAAGCUCUAAAUUAUUGGACAAGAUUAACACGAAAACGGUUUUUUUUUUUCUUCUUAUUAUUAACAAGUAGAAUCCAUGCGCUGCAGCUUGAAACUCCGUUAGCUGCAACAAAAAGCUAUUUGGGGGAUUUUAAUUAAGAAACCAAUAUAGUACGUAUAGGAGUACAAACCAAUUAUAGUACGUAUUGUAGUUCAACCCCUCAAUGCAACAAAUCAAAGUGAAACUUUAGUAAUAAUUCAAGCACCAAAGUGGUAAUUUUCUCCAUAUUACAUUGUUUUAAGUUGCCAAUAACUUAUUUAUGUUAAGAAAAAAAGAUCAUCUUGCACUAUUCUUGUAAGGAAAUUCAAUUACCAGUGAUCUAGAAAACUAGACGUGCUGUUACGGUGAGCGCUUAAAGACGUAGCGAAAAUUUUCAUUAUAAAUAAAAAGUUAGAUUAUAAAAAAAAUUUCUGUAUAUAUUCUUUUUUUCACUUUUUCAUCCUUACUUUCAAAAAUCUAUAUUGCCUCUUUAAGAUUUUAAGUGGUUGUAUUUAGCCCCCCCUCCGUCAGGAUUCCAACACUAUUCCGUCCAUUUUUUAUAAUUUAUACCGAAAAUGCCCUUCAAAAUGAUCGAAAUAUAUUAAAAAAUUAAUUUUUUUCUUAUAGAAAAAGUAAAGACAAUUUGAUCAUUUUACCCUCUCCAUUAACACCGUACCCCCGUGAAAACAUUUCUGAAAUUUUAAAAGGGCAAAAUAUAGGUUUUUGAAAAUCAUGGAGGAAAAGUAAAAAAAGGAUAUCUAUAGGGAGUUUUUUAUAAUUUAAUUUGCCUAAGGGCAUGUUUGGUUCGCCGAAAGUGUAACACCAAAAGUGAUAUUUUUAGAAAGUGGCGUCUUAUCGGUUAUUUGGUUUACGAAAGUGAAUAUGAAAGUCACUUUACGAAAGUAGACUGUUAAAGUGAGUUAUAACUAAAUCUCAUUUUUUUGACUUCGGCUCAAAAAAUUCGGAAGUCACCGAAAGUGGAGAGCUUAGCUAGCUAAGAGGUUAUAUUUGGUUUUAACUUUAAUACUUAAAUUUAUUUUUAAAUUGUGAAUUCAUAUUUGAAUUCAAAAUUUAAGAUCAAAGAGUAAAUUAAUAUAUGAUUCAAAUUAUAAAUUCAAAUUUGAAUAAAUGUUCUAAUUUUUGUGUUGAACUUUUAUUUUAAAAUUUAAUUUCAGUUAUAAGUUAUAACUUAAAUUUUAAAUUCAAAUUAUAAAUUAAAUUUAUGUCUAAAUUUUAAUUAUAAAUUCAACUCAGAUUUAAGUUUAAAUUAAAAUUUUAAAAUAUAAUUUUGAAUUCUAAAUAUUAAUUUAAAUGUAAAAUUUUAAUUUAAAUUGCAAGUAUAAGUCGUUUGUUUAAAUUUUCACCUCUUUAUAUAUAAUUUAGUAAUAAAAAAAUUAUAAAAUUAAAGUUUUAAUUUUUUACUUUACAACAACCAAACAAUCGAAGUGAAAAGUCACUUUUAUAAGAGUCACUUUUAUAAAAGUGACUUUUUCCACUUCGCCGACUUUCGAGCAACCAAACAUGCCCUAAAUAAAAAAGUAUAUUUAUAAUACCAAAAGAGAAUCGAGAAAGAGAAAACGAAAAAUAAAAAAUAAAAAUAUUUAUGUGAUUCGGCCACUGGCCUACACUCAUGGGCGAAUACGGAAUCAAAACUUUCAUUAUAAUUAAAAUGGUAUAGAGAAUAUAUCUCUCUCAUAAAAUUUUAGUCCCAAAUAUACACUCCUACUCCCUCUCUUCUGUCACACCAAAUCAAUAGAAUAAAGAGUAUAUUUAUAAUAGUAUAGCUACUUCCUAAUAUAACUAGAAAUACAAAUCUACUAAGACUAUGAAUAAUUUCAAUUAGAUUGGGCAUAAUUUAAAUUUAACUUAAUGGGAUAAUCAAAACAGAAUGAGAUUAGAAAAUCUUGUGGUUUCAGAAUUCGAGACAUAUAAGUAAUCCGCCCCGAAGGGGGCAAAACCCCUCGCAACCCUCUUUCACAAAUCAUUUUUUUUAAUUUGUCGCACCGCGAAACUUUCAGUGCAUCGAGACACAAAAUUGAACUCGAUCGAUAACCAAGUUCCGAGGCAUAUCUAACAUAGUGCUUCACCUAAUUGUAAUUCUCUGAGCAGUAUUAAACAGCACUACACAUACCCACCAGGAAGGCCAAAUAAUAGGCCAUUAGACUAAUAGCAUCUUUUGUCACAUCCUAAUAUUAUGGGCACAUAAAUUACUCAAGUAUCUAAAAAUUAUUGAAAAUGAUCAAUAGAGAUUAAGCCAACCCUCAAUUUUACAUUAUCUGAAUACUCUCCAACUUUCAUACUGUUUAGCUUCUUUUUUUUUCUUUUUUUUUGUUAAUAAAAUUGCAAGUUUAGAGAGAGUCAAUCAAAAAAUUUCAGAGUUAUAGUUUAUUUUAAGAUGGCCUAAAAUGAAGGGGUUCUCAUAUUGUUAUAGAAUAAUUCCACAUCGAGCAUUUUCUAAAACAAUAGUAGUAGAAGAUACAUAUUAUGAUGCGGCUAAUUUAGUGUUAAUAUUCCUGAAAAAACGUGACUCAACCAAGGUAGGCCGAAUAUUUCGUUGAGUGCGGCAAUUUUUACAAUUUGCGUGGAAAAUGUUUAAACAGUCAUAACUUUCCCUGAGAAUCUGAUUUUAACGUGGAAAUUAAGUCGUUCCGCCCGAGUAUAGGACCCAAAUUCAACUAUUUCAACCUCUGUUUUUAUUUUUUUUAAUUAGGUUAUUUUUUAAAAAUUCUGUAUUUUUUGUUUUGAGUCUAAUCAUUUUGAUCCAAUUAGAUUUAAAGAUAUAUUAAAAUUUAUUAUCUUCAAUUAUAGUAGGAUUCGAGUAUCGACCAUAUAUAUGGAUGUUGCAUUUGGUUACUGUAAUUAGUUUUUAAAGUUGAUUAAUAAUAUUUUCAUGUUCGUUGAAUAAUUGUAUUCUUCGUGUUUCUUUCUUUCCAUUCUUAUGCUUCUUCUCUCUCAAUGCGAUUUAGACAUGUUGAAUAUAAAAUAUGUAAACAAUAUUCUCUAGACCAUAUUCUCUGUUGAAUAUAAAAUAUGUAAACAAUAUUCUCUAAAAGAUACCGUUUGGAUGGGGUAUAAUGGAGGGAAUAAGACCAUAUUCCCUCCCUUAUACCCAAACAAAAAAAAAAAAAAUUGAUGGGAACAAUAGUUCCCGUCCCUUUAGUGGAAAACAAGCUUGUUCCUGAAGCAAGCUUGGGGGGAGGGGGAGAGAGAGAGAGUGAGAUAAAUUUAAAUUUAUAAGUUUAAAUUUAUUACAAAAUUUUAUAAUUUUAAUUUCAAAAUUAAAAGUUGUAAAUUUUUAAAUUUUAAAUUUUAAAUUUUAGAUUUAUAAUUUUUCAAAUUUAAAAUUUGAUAUUUUAUAUUUUUCAAAUUUAAAAUUUGAUAUUUUAUAUUUUUAAAAUUUAAAUUUUGAUAUUUUAUAUUUUUAAAAUUUAAAUUUUGAUAUUUUAUAUUUUUUAAAUUUAAAUUUGAUCUUAAAUUUAAAAUUAAAAUUUUGAUAAAUUAAAAUUUAUAAUUUGAGAUUUUAAAUUUUAUAUUUUAAAUUCAAAUUUUAAUUUAAAAAUUAAAAUUUAAAAUUUAAAAUGUCAAAUAUAAAAUUAAAAAAAUUAAAUUUAGAUUUAAUGAGAGGACUAAUAUCAUCAUUUUAUUUAUAAUUACCCACUAUUUUUCUUAUUCCGCAACCUAUCCAAACACUAUUUUUCUUAUUCCCUGUAACAAUCCAAUUUUCAUCCAAACGUUAUUUUUCUUAUUCCCGGAAACAACCAAAUUUUCAUCCAAAUGCAAAAUUAUUUUAGUUCUUGCUUAUACCUGAACUUAUACUUAUCCCUAGAAUAAGCAGUUCUUAUUUAUACCCGAACCAAACGAAACCAAAUUUUAGUACAAUAACUGUUAUAUAUAAUUUAAUAUGGUAUCAAAAUAGGAAGUAAUUAAGUUCGAGUUAUGCAAGGCUCCUAGCACAAUAGAUUUUCUUUCAUUUAAUUUAAGUCAAUGUCAUAGACCUAUAAAAAAGUUUCGAGUCCAGACACAAGAGAGUGUUAAAUAUAAAAAACACCAUUAUAUACUAACUUAAAUUUUUGGAGAAUAACAAUUAUUUCAUUUAGUUUAACAUGAAAUGAGAGUAAGGUUCUGAGUUCAAGUCUGGCUGCUAGUGUUAUUUAAUUUUCUCUUAUUAAAUUAAAUCUACGCCUUGGAUUUAUUAAAAAAUUUCGAAUCCAAACGUGAAAGAAAAUAUUGAAUAUAAAAUUAUUGUUCUCUAAUAGCUUAAGUUUUUAAAAUACAGCAAAUGUUUCAUAUAUUUCACAAGGCCUGCGUAACCAUAUAUGUCUAGUUUGCAGUGCGCACUAGGAAUGUCAGCGGAUCGGGUUUGGGUCAGGUUUUCAAAGACCUGAACUCGAACCCAAAAUUCAAAAUAAAAUCCGAAUCCGGACCUGAACCCGGCGGACUGAACUCGACCAAAAAUCCAAAACCCGAACCCGAACCCAAACCCGAAAAUCCAAACCCAAAAUAAUGAUUUCUCUUCAUCAUAUUUCAAAAUAUAUUAUAAUAAAAUCAAAAUUUUCAAAAUAAAAUUUUCAAAACACAAUCUAAUACAACAUUAAAACAUUCAUUUCAUACAAUAUCAAUAUCUGGAUUAAAAAAAAAAGCACAAAUUCAAAUAGUUAAUGAAAACAAUACAUUUUUUAAAUAUCUAAUACAAUCUUUAGAUAUCAAAAUAUUAUAUAAUUUAUUUAGGUUCGGGUUCAGGUCAAGUUUGGGUUUGAGUCGGGUAAAUACAAAGUCCAUACUCGUAUCCAUAUCCGUCAAGUUUUUAUUUUCUAUACCCAUAACCAAAUCCAUAUCUGUUUAGCUCGAAUAAACCCGCCCCAUUCGGAUUAAGGUUCGAAUAAUAUUUCGGAUAUCCAUACCCAUUGACAUCCUUAGUGCACGCAGCUCAUGUCUCUCACAUUACUUGCUACAAACAAUUUGCUGAAGCAUUUUAUAAAUUUAAUCUGGUACAGACACUUUGCUUGGAAUAAUGUUGGACAAACAUAGUUUCAAUUGAUGUUACAUAUAUAUAGAGAGAGAGAGAGAGUAGGGUUAUUAUAUUCUAAUGAGUAUAGAUUUCUUUAUACUUAUAAGACAUUUUCAAUGAUGGAGCUUCCGAAUCGAUAACCUACACUAUUAAAUAUAAUCGAGAGUAUUUAAAAUUUUUAGAAAAUAAAUUUUAUAACUUUUGAAAUUAUAAUAAAGUCCAUUAAGUGGGUAUAAAAUGAACGGUCAAAAUUGAACGACAUCUUAAAUAUGAGUGAUCAGAUACUUCAAUUUAAGAUCAGAGUUAUUGAUCUUUAUUUAAAUAGUGGAUAAAAUUUUUUAUCAAAAAUUCAAUCAAUUCCAAUUCUUUUACACCGUUAAACUAGCAAAUAUCUCAUACCGGACGUUGAAAAUUAUCAAUUUUGAUAUCUUUUGAUCGUAAGGUAAAUGAUGCCAAAAAAUUACGAAACUUGCUUUCUAGAAGUUUGAAAUGCUCUAAAUCAUGUUGAACGGCAUGUAUCAUUGAUUCGAAAGCUUUAUCAUCGAAAACAACUUAUAAGUACGGAGACGAUCGUACUCGUAAGAGUAUAGUAGCUAGCAAUAUAUAUAUAUAUAUAUAUAUAUAUAUAAAGAGAGAGAGAUCAGUCCGACUAUGCUGCUUCCAAAAGCACCACUCAUGUGGUGGUGCGUUCAAGUUUUAACUUUUGAAUAAACCUUUUGAUCAUUUUUAAUUCUUGAAUUAAUACUAUAUUCUUGGAGAAUCAAUAAACCGUAGUAAGACCAUUGUCAUUCCAACCCUACAAUACUUAAUUCAAGGGCCAAAAAGUAAGAAGCACUCAGCUCCUUUUAUGCUAGCAAUUGUAUAGUAGUUCUACACAAAAUAUAUAUAGAGAAAAAGACACACAAAAAAAAAAAUAUAUAUAUAUAUAUAUAUAUAUAGAUAGAGAGAGAGAGAGAGAGAGAGAGAGAGAGAGAGAGAGGAAAGGGGAAACACUAACCAGACAAUAAUAAGUAUAGGAAAUUGCAUUAUACUAAGUGGUCUCCAACUCAUCUUAAAUAAAGCUAUAAAAUGCCUGAAAACAAGGAAACAAUUGUAGGAAUAUUAUUGUUGGCCUUAUUAUUGGUACACACUCUAAACUAUGUUGCCUAAUUACUCAUUAACAAAUUGAAACAUAUCCAUCAUGUUCCCCCGCAAUAUUGGUUUUAUGUGACAAAACAAAAACCAAAAGCUUCAAUAUAUAUAUAUAUACAUACACACACAUUAAUGUACAAUUUAGAGCCUCUUAAUAGUCUCAUUCCAAAGUCACCAUAAGCCAAAGAGGAUACAUACAUCCAAAGAGCAAAUUAAAACAGGGAACGUAAAAAAUAAAAAUAAAAAUAAAACUCACAAUGCUAAGCUUCUUGGUUGAGCUAAGAAAGAAAGAGAAGAAGAUUUCUACUUCCAAAUGUUGGUGCAAACACAUUAAGAGAGAGGUUAGACUACAAAGAAACUGAAAAAUAUCGACGAGUUGAUCAAGUUGAGGCAUAAAAAUUUCGCUCUCUUUAAAAAAAUUCAAGUUCUCUGCAAUUGACAAAGCCCUCAAAUAAUUGCAGCGCUUCACCAACUCUUCAUAAAUAAAUAAGCCCAAAGCUUCACCAAGAAUAACACAUUUCUUUGACCUCUCUCAAGUACGAUGGAAUAUAAAAACAAAAGAAAUAGCAUGGAAAUUAUUUUUUGGUGUGUAAUGAAAAAUAAACAAGCUCACUAUAUAUAUGCUUCGCAUGCCUAUAGGUUACAACAAAUUAAAGUCAUAUGUUUUUUCUUAUUUACUUUCAAACUCAAAUACUAUGAGUUAUAGAAAUAAAGAGAUGAGUUUAAUAGUGAAUGUACGUAUGUUAGAUAUCUAUAUUUGUAAGUUCAAAAGUCACAAAUUAAAAAUGCAGAGAUUACAGAAACUUCACAAUGAAUGUAAGAGUAAAAAAAAAUUACAACGCCAUUAUGAGGUAUAAAUAAAAUUCAUUAAUUUUAUUUUAAUAAUAAAAUGUUACAACACCAAAUAAAUAAUAUCUAGAACUAAUUAUAGCUAUAAUGUUUACAAUUUAUUAAAUGGUGAUAACGUAAGGUCUUUGUUUAAGUCAUCAAGAGUCAAAGAGGAUAUAUAAAAGUCCAAUGAUUGAAUCAAAAUUAAAUGAAAAGGAAAAAAUCACUCACAUACAAUGUCAAACUUCACAAUGCUGAUCUAAGGAAGAAACUAAAUAAAAUUAGUUAUAAACAAUUUCUACAACUUGUAGAUACAAUAGUUAAAAUUUACUAAUUAUUGUUGACACAAUUUUUUUACUUAAUUGACUAAAAAAUAAUAAUAAUAAUCACUCACAAUGGCAAACUUUAAAAAAAGUUAGAGAAGCAAAAUAAAUAAAUAAAACUUAACCACUUAACACUAGAUAUUUUGCAAGUUGCAGAUAAAAAGAUUGAAAAUAGUAAAUAAAUUUAGUUAUUCUACUUAGAAACUAUUUCUACAAUUAACUUGUAAAUACAUUAUUAAAAUUUACUAAUUAAUCAUUGUUGACACAAAUUUUUUACUUGAUUGAUCGAAAGUCAAAGAGGAUACAUUCAAUGAACAAACUAAGAUGCACAAAAGAAUAAUCAUUCACAAUGUCAAACUUCAAAUAAAAGUUAAAGAAGCUAAAUAAAUAAUUAAAACUCUAACACUUAACACUAGAUAUUUUGCAACUUGCAGAUACAAAGAUUAAAAAUAACAAAGGGUUUAGUUAUAGUCCUUGAUUUGAAGUAAGUAAAGUUGUUCUUUAAUUAGUAGGGAAUAAAGUACUCCUAUGAAUUGUGCGUCAUUAAACUUUGAACUAAAAUAGAGUUUGGAAACGACCGUUAAGAUUCGUGAAAAGAUGAAUUUUAAAUUUAUGUAGUUGGAGUAGCUAGCCAUGCUUCGUGCAUUAAUCUUCUGCAAUAUCUACUGGUUUAUUUUAUCUAAAUUUUAGUGCAUGUAGUUUGUAUCAAAAAUUUAAGUGCAGUGACAUAGAAUCGUGCCAAAAAUUUGCUAACACGGUAUGGCAUGACACAUGCAAGACGAUGUCGAUAUGUUUCCGUCACAAAAAAAUACAUAUGUGCUGACACAUAAUAGCGUGAAAUAUUUAUUUUCUUUAUUAAUAAAAUAUUAUAAUUGCUUAUUAUGUAUCUUAAUUAAACUUUUAAACUUUAUUGAAAAAAUUACUUACUAAUCUAAAGCAAAGAGAGUUUUAAACUGCGUCAUCAGCAUGGGGAGUAUAUCGUGCCAAUAUUUUGUUGAUACGAUAGAAACGGUAUGUGCCGGUGGAUACCGAAUCUUCAGUUUCACUACAAAAAAUUAACAUUUUAGGACACUUCUCUUUAUAUUUAAAGAUGUUUAAAAGUAUCCCAAUAUAGUCUAGUAUAACAUUUGAAAGUAUUAGUUAAAACAUCAACAAAUGAAGAGUCGCUACGUAUAUACCAAUGUUUAUAUCAACUGUUGUUAAAAUAUAUUUUGAUGCUUUAAAACAUCAGAAUUUUAUGAAAUCCUAACAAUUUAAAGUAUCGAAAAAUUAAAAAUAGUAGUAAAUUUAUCAUUUAAUAAAUUGGUUUGAUAUAAUAGAGAAUUCAUGUGACGAUGCUUUUUGAAGCAUUAGUAUUUGCUAUAUUAUAGGGACGCUUGCGAACGCUUCAACCAAGCAUCGUCUGAAAAGAAUCCUUACAUUAAGAUUCUUUUGUAGUGUUUGCACUCUUGUAAAACAAAACAAUAAGUAUGACUCUUUGGCUUAAAUAAAGAAGAGGCUAAUUAUUGGUAGUUGGUAGUUGUUGCAUGACUCUACUGUGUUGGAAGGGUUACAAGGAGAUUAGAUUAAAACUUUGACUCAAAAAGAUUGCUUUUUGUUUGAAUUAGCUUAUAGCUCAAUUGCCAGAGUAGUUAUUAAAAUAAAAGUUAAUUACAGGAGCUAACUUAGUCUUAUUAGCGAACCCUUAGUGACACAGGCCUAAAACGCUUUGAGAGGGAAGUAGAAGCAUAAGGACGAAAAGAGAUGUUACAUGAAGAACUAAUUCAUUGACAAAGACAAAAUAUUAGUAAUCAACUCUAAAAACUCUGAUUACAUUAGCUAAACGCCAUGUGUAUAUAUAUAUAGGGGCGAUACCUAAAUCCUACUAGAUAAGAAAUCUUAAUAUAUAUAUAUAUAUAUAUAUAUUAGUAAUCAACUCUAAAAACCCUGAUUACAUUAGCUGAACGCCACUUGUAUAUAUAUAUAGAGGCGAUACCUAAAUCCUACUAGAUAAGAAAUCUAUAUAUAUAUAUAUAUAUAUAUAUAAACCUAAUAAGAUAAGAAAUAAUCAAAUAAUCCAACUAAAAAUAAGAAAUACAGAAAUUUUUGAAAAUAACGUAAAAAUGUAAAAAUGGAGGACCGGAAUGGCUUUGCUAUUUGAAAAGUUAUGGCCAUUUAAAGAUUUCUUGCAUCGAUUGUAAAAAUUAUCCGAACUCAACGGAAUUUUUUACCCAACUUGGUUUAGUUGCAGUUUUUUUAAAACUCUAACACCAAAUUGGCCACAUCACUCAGCCAUACCUGCUUAUAGUUUUUCGGGCAAGUGUCCCUAGCUUGUUGCUUGCAGAUAAAAACAUACGUGCAAAUAUACAAGCUAAGUGUGACUGAUCGCACGUUCCGAUGGCCACUUUAAUUGCUUAAUUUGCACGGUGCACCAAGGUUGUCCCAAUAUGCCUUUAAUUUAAGUUGCAAAAUGACGCAGGCCAAAAUCCCGUUAAAAAGGAAGAAACAUAAGGACAGAAAAAGAGAGAUACGUACAUGAAGAAUCAAUUCUUCGGCAAAGACCAAAAUAUUAUUAAUCAACUCUAAAAACUCUGAUUAGAUUAACUGAACGCUAUGUUUUUAUAUAGAGACGAUAUCCGAAUCCUAUUAGACGAAGAUAAUAAAUUCUAAUAUAUCUCUAAACCUAAUCAGAUUAGAGGUAAUCAAAUAAUCGAAGUAAAAAUAGAAAAAAUACAAAAGCUUCCGGAAAUAAUCUAAAAAUAUAAAAAACGGAGGCUGAAACGAUUGAAUUUGGAUCCCAAACUCUGCCAGAAUAACUUUACUGUUUGACGCGUAGAUCUCGAAAAAUAUUUUUCAAAAUGGGUUGCACGCUAAAAUUAGAUAUUUCGAGCGAAAAGUUAUGACCAUUUAAAAAUUUCUCACGCUAAUUGUACAAAUUAUUGAACUCAACGAAAUUUUUAGCUUGAUUUGAAUGAUCGAUCCACCGCAUGAAUAGAGUCUUCCAUGUCUGCAUGAGUAUCUGUGCAUUUAGUUUGCCACAAGAAACAUAAGUAUGAGAUGAAAAACAGCUAAUAUAUAUAAGAAGAUAUAUAUCCACUUAAUUAUCUUCCGUACAUCUUUCUACAUUGAAAUAGAACAUCUACUACAACAUACUCAUAACUUUUGCGCUAGUGAAAUGAGUAGUAUGCUAUCCAGCUUGUGACGCUCUUUCCAAAUAAUAUAUUAUAGUAUUUUACUUAUAUUUUUUCAAUUUGAUCAAAAUUUAGUAUGAUAUGCUGAAAUUCAGUAUAUAUAUUGCAACAACUCAAGCUACAUUGCCCUCCCACAUGGUCAAAGAGACAAGAGGAAUAAAUGGGCACCAAAAGUUGAGAGCCUUGUCUCCUGGACCCUCAUCAAACAAUGUGUAGGGUUAAGUGUGCAUAUGGGUGUGGAGUGGCAUUGCAUGCCCACUCCCAAUUAAUUUGGACUAUUAUACAUGCCAGCCUUCUUUGCUCUCUAGCUAUAUAAACACCUCCAAUUCCUCUAAACAAACCAAAUCAAACCAAACCAACAAAGAAGAAGAGCCAAAAUUAAGGCCUUAAUAUUUGCUUCAGCUCCCUCUCUUUUAUCUUCUCAUCCUCUUGGUUUCAUCUAAUCAAAGUUCUAAGUAUGAAGCUGAGGAGCCAAGGAAAGCAAAGGGGGCUCAGCAGAACCCUCAGGGAGCACAAGGCCAGGCUUUACAUCAUUCGUCGAUGCGUCGUCAUGCUCCUCUGCUAUCAUGACUGAUCGCGCAUCAGCUAGCGUUCACCAACUUUUCCUUCUCGUUGUGGCCUGUGUGUCAUGAGUUUCGAAUACAGUGGAUUAGUCAGCUUCGUUGCAAGCUGAUCAAGUUGCAACGGGGGCGACUAGAUCUCUCUAGUACACCGCAAAUAUCCCCCUUUUUUUGUGUUUUCUGCCGACAUGGCGGUUUUUUGUAUAUAUAUAUAUAAUAUACUAUUCGCUUAGUUUUUAGGAUUUUUUUUUUUUUGGCCUUUUCUUUGAUAUCUUCCCUUUAGGNCUUGAUAUCUUCCCUUUAGGCAUAGGCAAAGGGGGAUCAACCAAGCUUAAUUGUACUUGGAUCAAUUUUUCCUUUUUUUUUUAACAAGGAAUAUUACAAGAGGGGAUCAGUAAUGAAAGCUUAUGAUGACUUCUAAUUAAUCAAGUUUUUUUUUAAUAUAAUGCUCCUUUUCUCAUCUCUCUUAAUGUAUGGAACUUGUCAUUCAUUACCUACCAAUAAUUGGUUGUAACUAUUGCUUACUAUUCUUUCCUGAUUAUUAUUCAAAUGUUUCCAAGGAGACAAAGGCACAUGGAAUUUAAAGUACAUUGCAAAUGAAAAUGUGGCACAUCAGCAUUGUCACUAUUUUGCGGGCUUUUGUAUUUAGACCCCUUAAAACUUUUUUUUUUUUUACAAAUAUCCCCAAUUUGCAUAAAUAAUCCUCGCCAUGCCACUCGAGCACUUAAGUGGUAUUUUGACGUUGGACAUGAUGGUUGGAUAUAUUUAAACACGGUGGUCAGAUCAUCAUGUUUUUUUUUUAUAUUAUUUUUAUCGUUUAUAAGUUUAAAAAGAGGAAAUAGAGUAUGGAUAUGAAUACAAUAAUUGAAUCACCGCGUUCAACUUAAAAAUACGUACCAACACAGCGCUUGCAUGAUAAGGAGAUGACUAUAUAUGCAAAUAUAAAUUUGUUAGGAAUAUUUAUAAAAAAAAAUUGAGAGUAAUAAAUGUAAAAAAAAGCCCCUAUUUUGCUUAUUCAGAAGCCAUGUGAUUGGUCUAAUCACAACUGGCAACCAUGAAGUGAAACAAUCCUUCGACAAAACACUUGAAUGCUUGGUACAUGGCUUCAAUAAGCAUUGCAUUGUUUUACCACCAAAUAGUAUUAUUAUGUACAAUAAAAAUUGGGCUAAAUCACCCAUAGUUUUUGUAACACCCCAAUAAUCCCGCAUUGGGUGAGAAAAUAAUUCUGAUUAGAAUAUAUGAGGCAUACAUGCUAGUAAAAAUAACUGGGCUUAAGCAGUUUGAGCCGGUGGUUUUGGGUCCAACGAGUUAUUGAUGCUAGCGGGUCAGAUCAUUGCAAUUGGUAUCAGAGCCGAAAACCAGCCGGAAGUGUAAGAGCUAAGUGCUAUGCGGGGCAAAAUGCUACACCAACGGAUUUGGUGGGAGCCACCUCUUGAACCCAUAGGAGCUACCUCUAGAAUUAAUCUCACGUCGCCUGAUAAUUCUGGUCUGUAUCUGUGAUCUGAUUUGGACCGAACGAGAACAUCAGGGUCUAAACAGGGGGAGUUUGUAAUGCCCCAAUAGUCCCACAUUGGGUGGAAAAAUGAUUCUGAUUAGAAUAUAUGAGACCUACACGAUAGUAAUAAUAAUUGGGCUUAAGUAUUUCGAACCAGUGGUUUUGGGCCCAACGAGUUAUUGUUGCUAGCGGGUCCGGUCGUUACAAUUAGUAUUAGAGACGAAUACCAGCCAAAAGUAUGAGAGCAAAGUGUUAUGCGGGACACAAUACUACAUCAACAAAUUUGGUGAGAGCCAACUCUUGAACUCGUAGGAACCCCAAUAAUCCCACAUCGGAUGGGAAAGAAGUUUUGAUUUGGUAUAUAAGAGACCUCCACGCUAGUAAUAAUAACUGGGCUUAUUGUUGCUAGCAGGUCGGGGUUACAAUUGAUAUCAGAGCCGAAUACCAGCCGAAAGUGUGAGAGCUAAGUGUUAUGCAGGGCAAAGUGCUACACCAAUGGAUUUAGUAGGAGACACCUCUUGAACUCGUAGAAGUCACCUCUAGAAUCUCAUAUCGCCUAGUAAUUCUGGUCUAUAUCUGUGAUAUAGUUUGGACCCGACGAAAACGUCAAGGUCUAAACAGGGGGAGUUUGUAAAAAUAAUUCUGAUUACAAUAUAUAAGGCCUCCAUGCUAGUAAUAAUAACUGGACUUAAGUAUUUUGGGCCGGUGGUUUCGGCCCAACGAGUUAUUGUUGCUAAGAGGUCGAAUCGUUACAAUUGAUAUCAGAGCCGAAUACCAGCUAAAAAUGUGAGAGCUAAGUGCUAUGCAGAACAAAGUGCUACACCAAUGGAGCUACACCAACGGAUUUGGUGGGAGCCACCUCUUGAACCCGUAAGAGCUACCUCUAGAAUCUCACAUCACCUGAUAAUUCUGGUCUGCAUCUAUGACCUGGUUUGGAUCCGACAAGUAUGUUAGAGUCUAAAUAGGGGAAGCUUGUAACGCCCCAACAGUCCCACAUCGGAUGUAAUAAUAACUAGGCUUAACCAUUUUGGGCCGAUGGUUUGGUCCCAACAAGUUAUUAUUACUAGCGGGUCGGGUCGUUACAAUUGAUAUCAGAGCCGAAUACUAGCCGGAAGUGUGAGAGUUAUAAGUGCUAUGCGGAGCAAAGUGUUACACCAACGGAUUUGGUGGGAGCCACCUCUUGAACCCAUAGGAGCCACUUUUAGAAUCUCACAUCGCCUGGUAAUUCUGGUCUACAUCUGUGAUCUGGUUUGGACCCAACGAUGACAUAAAGGUCUAAACAAGGGGAGUUUGUAACACCCCAAUAGUCCCACAUUGGGUGAAAAAAUAAUUCUGAUUAGAAUAUAAGAGGCCUACACGCUAGUAAUAAUAACUGGGCUUAAGUAUUUUAAGCCGGUGGUUUAAGCCCAACGAAUUAUUAUUACUAGCAGGUCGGGACAUAUUUGAAAAUAUCAUGACUUUUGUAGAAAUAACAUAUAUGAAAGUUGAACUUUAUAGGAAUAUAUUUGUAAUUUACUAUAUUUGCAAAGACCCGUAUGAAAUUAACCCUAUUGCUUAAUAUCAAUCUGACCCGAAACAACCCUGCCACCUCCUACUUUUGUGUUCUGUCCCCACAAUUUGCUGGUUGUGUAAAACUCAAAUGUUACAUCAAAUGAAUGCAAUCAAAAAUAAGGAAGGUGGUGUUUAGUUGUACAUAAAAUCAUAAAAAAUAAUUUUGCAUAAAAAGAAAUUCAGUUAAAAAAAAUUUACAUUUUGUAGUAUUUGAUUUGUAAGAAGAAAAAAAAGUUUUUCAUCAACAUUUAUUUGGUUGUAAUGAAAAAAGACAUUCUCAUUUAUUUGGUUCGGUGGAAAAAAAAAAUGAAUGAAAUUAAUAAAUUUUGGGCAGCUUGAAUUUUCAUUUUCCGGCGAAAAUCGUUGGAAAAGAAAAACACUUCAUUUUCCUCAAAUCUAUAAAAAUAGUUCUUUUAAAAAAAAUACGUAAAAAUGGAUUGACAGAGGAAGUAGAAUUGUGUACUCUGCACUGUCGAAUUUGAGACUAUAGACCAUCUGUUUUUUUUGUAUAAAAAAAAAUAAAAAAAAAAUCCUUUUGCUUCUGCACUUCCACAUUUUCCCUGUUUGAGUUUAAUUUCAAGCAAUUGAAGUUCAUGUAGCAUGAAGUUAUAUGCUAUAUGUUACAUAACUAAACUUCCAAAAGAACAUGACCCUUUUCAAGCAACUCCCAGAAAAUUCCACUACCAGAAUUCUUCUCAAACAAGAAAAGAAAAAGAAACAAUAAAUUUCUUCAAGAUCCUUCAGUAAUUAAUUUUCUGAGAAAAUAUGUAUACAUUAAUCUUUGUCGACGAGUGAUUACGCAGUACUCGAAGGGAAGUUGUUGAAUACAUUCAACUACUACUGCACAAAAUUUACAAACUAACAAGUAUAGAUGCUAUUUACUUAAUUUUACUCCUCCCUCGGAAUCCACCUGCUCCACCAUAGGCUUUUCUGCUGCCUAUUUAGCUCGUCCAUGCUCUCGUUGAGAUUCCGAAUGAUCUUCCUCUGCAGACGAAGCACCGACGCGAGCACAUUGCGCUGCGCGCUGUCCUUCUUUGGCGCUAUUUCCUGUUUGAGCAAAUUGAAUACACCUCAAUAGUACUGUUUCAAAGUGUUUUGUACUCUGCAAUCAUAUGAUUAUCAAACAAAAAUAGUAGUUCCAAAACCAAAAUCGUGAAUUGCGAAAAUAAUAACUUAUCCAGGAUUAUCUCCUCAUCUGCUCAAAGAUCGUUUGUUAGUUGACUAUGUAGCGGAGAGGCAAGUAUAGAUACCUUAAGAGCAAUGAGUAACAUUUCCAAUCUUUACCUAAAGUUGAGCUCCUGUGCUUUUAAAAGCACAGGAGCAUUUGUGCUUGUGACUUUUUAGCCGUCAGAUCACCUCAAGAUCCGUGUAGCACUAUUAACGGUGUGUCCCAUUAAGUCCCCCUUACUAGUACUGCACAGAUCUUGAGGCGAUCCGACGGCUAAAAAGUCACAAGUAGCUCAACUCCUUUACCUAUCUGAUAAGUCACCUCAAUAUUUUUUCUUUUUUUUUUUUAAUAAUGCCUGUAGGAUCCACAAUUCAGAAAUAACCCAAACCCCAUGGAUGCACCGACCCCCUGCGGGGGCUCGAACUAGUGACCUCCUGUAGAGGGUAGCGCACUACAACCACCCGCACUCAGGUGGCGGUGCUGGUAAGUCAUCUUAGUUGAAAUACACAAUCUUAAAGCGUCAUGAUUAGAGGUUGAAUUCUUAUGUCAUAAUUACCCCCAAAAAGUCCAUUAAUGUUGUUAGAUGUGUCACGAAUUCAGAGUUCGCAUACCCUUUUCUAACGAGUUUUCAAUAUGAGGAAAGCAUUUGGUAUAUUUUGGUGCUAGGGUGUUUUGAGAGAUUGGCAUUUUUGUACCUCACUUUUGAUUAUAGUGGAACUCUGAUGUUUCAUAUCCCAUGAACUAGGGAUUUUUUGGCUUUUGCCGUAACAAAUGCAAGUUAUCCCUGUAUAACUUGUUGCAACUUUCCAAACAGGCCCAAAACUUAUUCCUAGAACGGGUGACAAAUUAUCGACGCCCCAUAAUUCAAAAGGGAUUCAAAGGGGAGGUGAGAUUCAUAACGGAAAAGUUGGCAACAUGAUAUUUCUUUGGAAAAGCUUUCAAUAUGCAUUUAUGUAACAAUAAAACUAAUAUUCAUACAUACCCUUAGAUCCUGAAGUUGGGCCUCUGUGAAGCCACCCUCUGUCGCCGUCCCCGACCUCGCCAUAAGCUUAAUAACCCAAUUAGCAGCUUCACUGUAAUCCUUUUGGGUGGCACGGAACAGCUGCAAACUCAAAUUCUGCAUGAAAGACAAGCCAAGAAGCCCUUCCUGCUUGAAGUAUGGAUGAGCCAAAGCGGCUUUUGCACUGGUCCUUUGCCGCGCUUUAUACCGCACCAUCGAUGUUAGAAGCUCCCAUCCGAUCCCUCCAUCCAAAUCUAAUAGCUCGAAGCCCCUUCGCAGAUCCGGCGGGGCCCGAGGUUCAACUGAUCUACGCCAAGUGGCCAAGUCAUACCCGCACCUCUUCAGUUGCCGGUUGAAUUGUAUAAGGCUGCUGUCGGUUCGUAAUGAGGGAAAAGCCUAGAGGGAAAAUAAAAUUUAAAAACAAAUAAAAAUAAACGCCAAGAAGGUGAUAGAAUACACAAUAUGGUUUGCUCGCAUGUUGGAAUAUAGAGUAGGAGUCUUCAAUGCCCAUUUGGCUUCUACAGCAGCUUCGCUACACCCUAAAGUAGUACUUACUAUUUUGCAAACAAGUCCGGAGCUUUGCUGCAGGGGAAAGCUGAAAUGAGUUUCUAAGUGCCAAAAGCAGAAUGUCCUAUUAAAAGCUCCCGCUUCUGCUGCAGCAGGAAGCUUUGGGCAGAGGAAUCUCAAUGCAAAAACUAUUAGUGCUUGUUUCAAUAUCUUUAGUCGACAAACACUCCUACCACAGCUCCAGGCCGGGACAAACAGUCUCUGUGACAUGUUAAACGUACAUAAUUUAUCGAAGAUCCACUCCCUCCUUUGGCAGUUUAUUGGGAAGCAAUAAUCCUAAUCUCUUUGUAUAAAACCAAUUAAGGAAUUAGAAAGACCCACAAAAGAGUGUGAUCAAAUGAAAGGUCGUGCAGCUCUCUUACCAUCUGCAAGAAUAUCAGGCCCACACUGUACAUGUCAAAUCGAUCAGGAAGAUUCAUCUGUUAAUAAGCAUCAGUAACAAAGGAAUUUCAGCAUUACAUAGAAAUUAAAUGAAAAUAAUCAAUCUUUUAAUUAUUGAACUCUGCAAUAGAAGAACAAGAAACAUAUGGGGUCAAUUGAAAGAAAAAUCUAACACCUGCCAUAGCACUGGAGAUAAGGCAGUCGCAACUGGAGCAGAGGGAGCAGACGGUGUUUGAGUACUCAUGAUGUAUUGCUCUGGUGCAGAAUACCUGCAUAGAUAACACAGAAAAUGUUAUAAUGGCAAUUUGCAUCCUUAAAAGAUAUCUGAGCUAGAAAGUAAGUGGCAUGGCAAAAAAAAUGUUCACAACCUUGGGCAACACAGGCUACAAGAUUUUAGAAACUAAAAAGGUUUUUUUAUAAAAUAAAAAAAAAAAAAAAAGUAUAUUAUGAUCAAACAUAGUAGCAAUAACAAGAAAGUCAGACUGAAGGAAAUUCUAAAUAUAAGGUAUUUUCGAACCGCGUUCCCUCAAAAGCUAUUGAUAUGCUAGCAUACAUAAUGUAGAGAGCUUUGAUUUGUUCGUGCUUGUAGUCACAUAGGUUUACCAACACAUGGACAGCCCAAGAGCUUUUGUGGGGGGACCCAAAGCAUUUCUCUUCUAAAAUCUGUAUUUUAUGUCAUUAUGACAGAGAUCUAAAUCAUGUUAGUGAGCAAAAUAUCCUUGCUAUCCCAUUUGGUGCUAAACUGUUAAACUUUUUAUUCAAUUAUUCCCACAAAAAUAUCUCAUUCAGUAUGUUUGGUACCAAGCGUAUUUUAAGCCUUCAUUCCAUUUAUUUCUAUUUAUUUAACUAUUCUAUUACCAUGCAAUAUCAGUCUAUAUGUUAUAAUUGUUGGCAGGCAGGCGAGCAUUCUGCCUACGUGGUGCAUGCCAAAUUAGACCAUGUCACAAUCAAGAUCUGUGGGUUCUCUAUCAAUACGUGAUAAGACUUUAGGUGCACAACUUGCCUCUUUCCUUUCAACUCCAGUUUUCGGAGUAGUGGUUGCCAUUAACGAUCCAAAAAUGCUUUAUUAAAGGAGGUCACAAGUUCAAUUCCCGUAUGUUGUAAUGGCAAGUAGACUAGCAUUCUGCUUAUGUGGCAAAAGGCCAGGUUUGCCAAGUCACAAUCAAGAUUCGUGGGUGUUUUGUCAAUACACUUUUAGUAAAUCGGUUGCCCUCUUUCUUUCAAGUCGAGUUUUUAAAAUAAGGGGAGAUUGUUGACAGAUAGGUUGGUAUUUUCCCACGUAGUAGAGGACUGGUAGGGCCAAGUCACAAUCGAGACCUGCAACCUUUAUAUCUAGACCCUUCAAAUGAAUUGGUUGCCCCUUUCUUUCAACUCAAGCUUUUAGAAUAGUGGUCAGCACCAACUACAAUGCACACUUUGACUCUAAUGGCAACUCCCGUUGCUGCUUCCCGAUUGUCAAUUAUUGAAAGAGUGGAUGUUCUCUAAUAGGGUGUCGAUUAGUUCAAUAAAUUUAGGUAUACUCAAUUUAGUGAUGAUGCUUUUUUGUAUCUUAUUAUGCAGUUAUGCAUCUUUUGUCUUGCGGAAGGAUAGGGCUAGGAUUUGGUUAGAUUUGUAGUCAAACCCUAAUUAAGAUAAAAUAGAGAUUCAAAUUUUUAUUAGAGACAGAGAUAGUAGAAUUUUAAGCUUAGUUAAAAGACGAGUUUUAAUUGAUCUGUAUAUGUGAGUCAUGCAUUAUACAAUGCAUAAGGCACAGCCAAGUUAAUUAGACCAUAUAGGUAUCUCCUCAGUGCCUGUCUAAUUAAAGGACCGCGGCUGUGGCUACGGUCUACGGCUCAGGUACUUGGCCAAGAAGGGGCGUGUGCGGUGAACUAAUGGCCCGUGGGUCAUUUAGGUGUACCUCAUGCAUGAGUGAACAAGAAAAGAAAAUUUUUCUAAGGAGAUAGAAGACGAGUAGUGGCAGAAAGAGUUAGAAAGAGGACUCAAGUCGAAGCAACGCCGUGAAGAAGAGGAAUCCGGCGUAUUUCUUCUUUAAGUAGUGAAUCUCAUUUCACCUAUAUUUGUAUUUUUAAUAAUUUACUUUUCUCACUCUUGUGGUUGUGCCAGCUCUUGCUGUAGAGGCUGAUUUACAGUAGAAAUUGAAUUGGACGCUUCUGUUCUGAAUCCCAACAUUCAAUAUCAAAGUGGAUAUCGGAUUUUCAACAAUUGGUACCAGAACAGAUUGUAAAUUCUCAACAAACACAACUCUUUAGGAUAGUAGUUAAUCAGAAACUGUCUUCAACACUAAUUUGACACAACUACUAGUAAAAGCCCAAUGACAGAUAGCAAUUUCUUUUUAAGGAUAUGGCUUGCAACAGGCUAUUUUCCUGAUUUAAGUUUGUCAAUAGCAACAGUACCACUUGAUAUGCAAGCCGAAAGUAAUAGAUUUCAUUUUUUUUUAAAUUUUUCCAUGUUGCAAACGGCAAUAAAUAUCACAGCUAAUGCAUCCCCUGUACUCCAGCAUUGACAACAGUUCCGAGGAGAAUAAAAAGAAUUAUCCUAUGUAAAAUCAGAACUAGUUGAACAUGCAAAGCAUUAUAGAAACUUCAAAUGCUUAAACAUUAUGAGUUACACAAGUAAUCACUUCUUGUCUGACAUUAAAAAGAAAAAGAGAAAAAGCUUAAACAUUAUGGAUUUUAGUAAAGAUAAAAGGCACCUCAUUCUUUUUGCUAUGCCUUCCCACUUUUCAAAUAAAGAUAUAUACACUUCAAAAAUUGGUGUGAAUGACAAAUAACACCCAAUCAGAUCAUCACUAGCAAAAUAUUAAGUGUUAAAAGAGACAACAAUAGUAGAAGCUAUUUUUAUCAUUUCAGAAAUUGUGCCAUACUGAUUUAGAAAGAUUAAUAGUUGAGAAAUUUCUUAUUUAGACAUAAUGGGUAUGUUGUCCUAAGAAAUUAAGGAAAUUAAGGCAAUUAAAGCAAACCUUACAUGAGAAAUGAGAAACUGUGUAGGUCCUCAAAAUGGUAUAUUUACCUUGGGUCCAAAACAAACUCUUUUGGGACAUAAUUGAUGCCCACCCGUAAAUCUGUUGCUGCUCCAAGAUCAAUAAUUUUAAAGGUGCGAGACCCUAAAGCAUACGCCAAAAUAAGGAGCUUAAUAGAGAUAGAUAAGUCCAUUAGUUUCACUUUUGUGAACUUUUACCUUCGGAAAAGAUAACGUUUUGGGGCUUAAUGUCUCUAUGAACAAUCCCAGUCGAAUGAAGUCCAUCAAGAGCAAAUAAGAGUUGCCUCAUCACUGUUUGAAUAAUCCUAUUUUCUCUCUCUAAUCCCUUCGGCAAAUCUUGCACCUCCCCAAGAAUCUUUGUCUCGACCUAAAUACAUAUCGAAAAGAAGAAAAAUAGAAAAAGAUGUCACGAAUCAAUACCAUUCUAAGAUAAUACAGUCUCAGCAAUGAUGCUGUGAACUCAUCAUCGCCCUCAUACCAGAGCAACAAUAUCAUCAUGGUUAUAGACUUGUAUGUAGUCAAUAUUCUAAACUGCAGAGACAACACGCAGGUAUUGAAGAGUUCACUUAGCCAUGUGUCACAGCUGAGCGAACACAAGCAGCCUUGGAGAUGUUCAUCAAACCCAAAAACCUGGAUCAACUUGAAACCCUAAACCAUACACGGCAAAUUGCGGGUAGUACAUGGGUUCGAAAGAACACCCAUGGCAAAUUUUGAUAAGAGUUUCAAAUAUUUCAAAAGUUUACCUGACCCAAAUUUGAGACACAUGAAUUUGUAAUCGUUAUGUUCCAGAUAAAAGUUUCCAUACUGUACAUGGAGCAGUUAAUAUACUCGAUUCUUUUAAGUAGAUACCCUCACAUACUAUACAUGGAGCAGUUAAUAUACUCGAUUCUUUCAAGUAGAUACCCUCACCUUUUGGUCCAAUUCAUUAGUUUACCAAUACAACGCAUACUUCUAAAUUAACAUCAAUGUAAGGUUUGAUGAUGAUACAUUCCCAUACUCAUUCACUUGCAGCUAUGAAGACUAAUUGUUGGUAUUUAGGGCUUGGGACCUACUAUUGUUUCAUUAGUUAUUGUUGGAAUUAGAAGUUAUUUUAGUGUUAAGUUUCAUGAUGAUAUAUUCACUGGCAUACAUAAAGAACAAAUAUAAUUUGACUCCAAGCUUCCUGUUGCCAUAGUCGAUAUGUUUUGAGCAGAGAAUAAACCAUCAGGUUAGAGUGGAUACUCACAUUGUAGGGAAAAUCUUUGCUUUGAAUGAGACCCGCAAGCGUAUCCUCGCCCUCGAAACGCCAGAUGAGACAAUACUCACCUGCUCCUUUACCUUUCGAUUUGCUCUGUAAAGCAAAGUAACCAGUACUUAUAGCGGAUAUAACUUGUGGGCAAUAACUGCAUUACAUAAAUAAAACCCAAAUCCUAAUUGAUCACUGUGAAUUAUCAAGAACAACACCUCGCGAAAGCCGUAAACAAAAUCAGCACAACUACUAGCGCAGGCCCUCCUGACUCUUUCGUUCAUCCAUAUCUCCACCGCACCGUAUUCGGUCGCCUUCUUCAACACCAGAUCACCUUGCUGAGACAAAUAUGAAAGCAAAUUAAAGAAAUUUUCGGGAAGCAGUUCCUUCGUAUCAUACAGCUCCCUGUAAACAUAUUGAAUAGCAAAUAUAUCCCUACAAAGUUCAACUUUUCAUAUUGAUACCUGCAAAAGUCUAGUCAUAUUCAUAUUUAUCCCUCUGUGUUUGUUACCGUUAGAGCACUAUUUAUUUUUUGGGUUAAUUUCAUACAUGUCCCUGCAAACAUAGUGAAUAGCAAAUAUAUCCCUACAAAGAUCAACUUUCUUAUGUUGUCCCUGCAAAAGUCCUGAUAUUUUCAAAUAUGUCCCUGCCGUAGAAUCCGUUAGAAAAAGUUAGUUAACCAUAGGUUAAAUACUUAAUCCUAGUUAGUUUUUAACAUUUUUACCCCUUUAUAUUAUGCUAGUAUGGCUUUUGGAGGGAUAUAUUUGUGAUGGUAAAAUUGAAAAUAUAAACGGUUUUCUAACCGUAACAAACCAAAGGAACAUAUUUGAAAACAUUAGGAUUGAACUUCGUAGAAAUAUAUUUGUCAUUCACUAUGUUUGCACUUUGCAGGGACAUAUAUGAAAUUAACCCUUAUUUUUUUAACAGAAGAUAAAUGAAAUGACAUUUUUGCCACCACAAAUAUGUCCCUCCAAAAGUCCCAACUGUUAAAAUUAUGCAGAAAUGUCCUCCCAAAAAUCCCCAACGGUCGUUUUCUUCUUUUCUACCAUCACAAAUUAUAUAAUAUGGGUUAAAAGAUCAAUUUUAUCUCAUUCACUAACUAGAGUUAAGUAUUUUAUCUAUGGUUAACUAUAUUUUUCUAACGGAUCCUAACAACGGUGGUAUAUUUGAAAACGUUAGGACUUUUGCAGGUAUAAAUAUGAAAAAUUUGAUAUUUGUAGGAAUAUAUUUGUUAUUCGAUAUAUUUGAAGAAAGCUGUAUGCAAUUAACCCUAAAUUGAACCUCCAGAAGCAUAACAACAAACAAGUGAUAGGCAAUUGUAACAACACAUCAUCAUCAACAACCUUGGCUGCGGCCUUCGGAUUCGCCAAGGAGGCCUUAUAAACGACUCCGAAAGCACCCUCCCCGAGCUUCUUCCCGAGCACGAAAUCAUCCUGCGAAAUAAUUCGACGGGUAAGACGGCACACACGAUCUAGCAGUGAAAUAGCUCAAUUGGAUGGAGCGGAGACCUUCCGGAAGGUGGGCCGGAAGAACCGCUCGACGAAUGCGAGAACGAACAUGUCGAAGAACCCGGGAGCGACUCCGGGGGUGGCCCAGAGGUAGGAGGCGGCGGCGAGCGCGAGGGCGACGCCGGGGGCGGUCAGAGUGAGGCCGUCGUUGCGGGGGAGGGUGCUCCGGUAGAUGAUGUCGCCGCAUUUCAUCACGGUGCAGGGCAGCCCCACGCCGACGCCGACGAAGACAGUCCGCCCGAUCUCCGCCACGAGAUCGGCUGCCGCCGACGCCACCACCGCCGCCCCGCCGGCAGUCAGCCUCCGCCUUUCGUGCCGGCGGCGGGGGGGGAGCUUCUUCUGAUUGCGGUCGGCCAGGAAGGAGGUGGAAAGCCGGAGGCCGAGCCCGCCGGCGGCGGCCGCGGUUGCCAUUUCUCUUGUGAACUGUGUGUGGGCAGUCUGCACUCCUUUUUUCUUUUUUUUUUUUCUCCUCACUUCAUCUCAUUUUGUGGGGUUUUGAGUUUCGGUUAUUAUUAUCUGUUACUGGGAUAGUGGAUUUGUGAUUAAAAAAAAAGAGAAAAAGAUUUAUUUUGUGGUGGAGGGAUUGAGAGAAACGUGGCGAGUUCGUGUAAUUUAUGAACUUGGGGAGCUUGUGGCUGAUAUUUAUUUGAGAGUGUGGUCUCUCCCAAUCGCCUGGUGAGAUAGUUUUGUGGUUGGGGGGUUUUUUUUUUUUUUAAGAAAAACUUUAAAUAUCACCUAUCUGAUUUUGCCAACGGGAUACACGUGUGAUACGAAGUGACCCAUAUAUGUAAAUAUAAAUUUGUUAGGAUCAUUUGUAAAUUUUUUGAAUUAUAAAAUAUGAAAACCUAUUUUUAAAAUUUUUCGGAUUUUUGUUUGGGGGAAAAUAUAAGACUUUUUUUUUCAUAUUUUAAGGAAAACUUGCAUUUUUGUUUUUCUAAAAAAAAAUUGGAAAAAAAUACUAAAUUUUCAUAAAAUAUGAAUUAAAUAAUUUUUAAAAAUAUUUAUUUUUUGGCCAAUUUGCAUAAAAAAUCCACUUAUUUUGGGCUUUUGCAAAACUGGGCUACCUUUUUCGUUUUUGCAGAUUCGGUCCGUUUUUUCAGCAAACUGAUCAAAAUAUCCUUAUUACUUUUUCUCUUUCCUCUUUCUCUCUCCUGUUCAUUUCUCUUGUUUUUUUUUUUCUCGCCGAAAAAAGUAACGAAGGCAGAGGCGGAGGCGGAAAUGGUCCGCCUCGCCUCUCACCCUCAUGCUCUCGCCCUCGCCCUUGCCCUCGCCCACGCACUCCCCAGCUUCCUCGCCUCCGACCCCGCUAAGGCCGUGCCGCGACUUUUUUUUUAUUAUUUUUUUCUUUUCUUUUUUUCCUCGACUCUCCUCCACCGUCUCCGACGACGACGUCUCUCUCGCUCUUCCCCGCCCUUCUGGCCUCUCCCUCUCCCUCCUUCUCUGUCGCCUCCGACGACGAUGCAUUUUCGCCGGUGCCAACGCCAACACCGUGGAGGUCACUGCGGCGCUGCAGCCUCGGAGCGGGAGGUCCUUAGCGGCGUCGUCGCCGGCGUUGUGGCUGUUGGCAGAGAGGGUGACAAAAAAAAAAUUAUAGAAAAAAUAGAAAAAAAUAAAGAUAAAAAAUUUUAUUAAAAAAAUGAUGAAGAUGAAAUUGCAUCGUUAACUGCAAAAAAAAUUAUAAGUUGCACUACUUAAAAUGUAAACUGCAGCUUUAAGAUGAAAAUUACACUCUUUAAACGAAAAUUACACUCUUUGAGAGAUAUUUACACUGUUUCUCUUCUUAUUACACUCUUUCAGAUAUAAACUGCAGCCAUUAAGAUAAAAGUUACACUCUUUAAACGAAAGUUGCACUGUUUCUCCUCUUGUUGCACCAUUUCUCCUCUUGUUAUACUAUUUUUUAUCUUAAACUGCACCCCUUUAAGAGAUAUUUAUACUAUUUCUCCUCUUGUUGCACUGUUUCUCCUCUUGUUGCAUCAUUUUUUCUCCUAUUACACUAUUUUUUAUCUUAAACUGCAACCAUUUAAGAGAUAUUUAUACUGUUUCUCCUCUUGUUGCACUAUUUUUUCUCUUGUUGCCGAAAAAUAGUGCAACAAGAGAAGAAACAGUAUAAAUAUCUCUUAAAGGGGUGCAGUUUAAUAUAAAAAAUAGUGUAACGGGAGGAAAAAUAGUGCAAUAAGAGGAGAAACAGUGCAACAAGAGGAGAAACAAUAUAAAUAUCUCUUAAAGGGGUACAGUUUAAGAUAAAAAUAGUAUAACAAAAGAAGAAAUGGUGCAACAAGAGGAGAAACAGUGCAACUUUCAUUUAAAGAGUGUAACUUUUAUCUUAAUGGAUGCAAUUUAUAUUUGAAAGAGCUCAAUAAGAAGAAAAAAUAGUGUUAAUAAUCUCCAAAGAGUAAUUUGUUUAAAGAGUGUAAUUUUUAUCUUAAAACUACACUUUACAUUUAAUAAUGCAACUUAUAAUUUUUUUUGCAGUUAACGAUAGAUUAUCUUUAUCCUUCUUUUUCUAUAGUUUUUAUCUUUAUUUUUUUUUCUUGUUUUUUUUUUUUUUUUUUGGUCACCCUCUCUGCUAACGGUCACAGGCGGCGACAACGCCGCUAAGACCCUGCUCUAAGACAGCAGCGUCUGCAGUGAUCUCCACAGUGUCGGCCUGCGCGCACAGCGAAGAUGCAACGCGUCUGAGAGCCGCACAUGAGGAGGAGGAGAGGGAGAGGACUAGGACGAGAACGGGCGAGAGGGCAAAGAGAGGCGUCGUCGUCGAAGACGUGUAGGCAGAGUCCGGAGAGGUAAAAAAAAAAAAAAAAGAGUCGCGGCGCGGCCUCAGCGGGAUCGGAGGCGAGGAAGAUGGGGGUGUGCGGGUGAGAGUAAGGAUGCGCCGGACAAAAUCGAAGCAGGCCGCCUCCGCUCUGUCUCUGCCGCUCUCUGGGAAGAGAAAGAAAAAAAAAAUAAGAGAAAAAAGAGGAGAGAGAAAAAGGUAUAAGGGCGCCUCCGCUCCGUCCCGCCGCUCUCUGGGAAGAGAAAGAAAAAAGAACGACAGAAACGAAGAGGAGAGAGAAAGAGGAAAGAGAAAAAGGUAUAAGGGUAUUUUGGUCAGUUUGCUGAAAAAGCGGACCGAAUCUGCAAAAACGAAAAAGGUAACCCGGUUUUGCAAAAGUCCAAAAUAAAUGGAUUUUUUAUGCAAAUUGGCCUUAUUUUUUCUUGAACACAAAUGGGUGAAAAAUUGAAAAAAGAGUUCUCCAUGACAAAAAAAAGUUUUAAAAUUUUUUCAUAAUUUUUUUUCACACUUUCUAAGGAGUCAAUUUCGAAAUAGUUAUAGUUGAGGGGUUUCCCUGCAUAUUUGUACCAACAUUGUACAGCCACGUGAAGUGUCCGAGUCUGCGGAGAGGCCACAAAUUAUUGCCUGCACCAGGUGUAUCCGUACACAUCGUGGACCGCAAUUUUUUUUUUUUGAUUAAUGGUCUAAUAAAAUCAAAAUCCAAUCCAGUAGUUGCCAUGGACACAAUAAAAAAGUCUCAAAACUCAAUGGUAUAUAAAUGAUUAAAUGAACAUUAAAUUGAUUUAUAUCCAAAAAAAUAAUAUCUAAAAUUUUAUAAUAUUUUCUAUGCAUCUCUUUGAAUAUUCUAAAACACGUAUUUGUUUCACCGUAUUUUUUAAAUUUUUUGUAAUGAAGAUUACAAAUUAAAAUUUUUUUAUUUCACCGCCACAUAAAUAUAUCUGAUAUAGCAGAAAUUAUAAUUCCGGUGAUAUUUAAAAUUGUUGUACAAAAUGUGAGAUUCAAAGCUCAGCUCCUGUCUUAAUUUUUUUGAUAGAAUUUUAUUUUAUCAGACUAAAAUACCACUCUUAAUUUUUAUAUUUAGAUAAAAAAAUGAAGUUAUUGAUCUAACCCAGUUAUUCAAUGAAAGAAAUGAACGAGAUAAUCUUAGAAAACCAAAAUAUUCCUAUGAUAUUAAAAAUACAAUUCUAGAAGGAAAAAAAGAAAUUACUAGGAAGAUAAUUUUUUAUAUAAUAAUAUUUUUAGGAGGCGGUUCAUGACAGUUCUUAUACACUUGGUGCAGGCAAUAAUUUCUCUUAAAGCAGAUGCUUCGCUGGCACGUGGGACCCACACAUGUGUGGCCACGUGGCACCAUCACAACCGUCACGGGGUUGACAGAAGCAGCGUAGCAAAAGCAAAGCAACCGCCACAAGCGAAAGCGACGUUAAACUAUUGCGUAGACCGGGUCCACCAUGGACCGGUUUUAAAUGGUUUACAAAAUAUAUAACAAGUAAAUAACUACAUGUUACAAUUUAUAACUUUUGAAACAACUAUUUUUCGUGCAGCAAAUAAUAGUUUUUUUAACAUUACUAAUUAUUACAAGUAACUAAUGCCCACAUAAUUUAUUUUUGAAAUUUAUGAUAAUUUAUAUUUAUGUUUUAAAUUUGUGUAUUUUUGGGCUUCAAGUUUCUUCAUUUGGAAUGAAUUAAGAGGAUUUUUUUUUCAAAUAGGAUUUUUCUCAUGUAUGAAAAUUAUGAAUAAUAGCAAAUGUCAUAUCGAAUUUAUUCAUUAUUUCCAUAAUCAACUGGAAAAAUAAUUAAAAUUAUAUCUACUAAUAUUCCAACACAUGUUUUAAUAAAUUUUGAUGUAAUUUUGAAAAUAAGAGAUGCGGUAUAAAUAAUUCUGAUGGUUUGGUUUUGAUUUACUUAAAAAAUAUAUAUUAUUUUAAGUAGUAUAUUUUACUUUUAAGUUUUUUUUAAAUAAGAUAAAUUAUUUCGUAAGUGAAAUACACAAAUCAUGAAUGUCUGCGCGUUUUAAAAAGCAAAAAAAAAAAAAAAAACUCUUUAUUUUUAAUCACAUAAUAAACCUUUGGCUUAAUUAUACUAUACUGUACUCUAUUUUAUAGGUUUUUUUUCAUUUUCUAAUUUACAUUAUUUUUUUCAAGGGCACCAUUCAACUAUUUUAUAUAAAAGCCGUUAAAAAUGCUGAUUAAAAAUGGCACAACAUAUAUUCAACUUAUUUUAACAUAAAAAAUAACAUAAGAUAUAUGAGAAUAAUAAAAAGAAUAAUUAAACAUAACAUCUAUCAUAGUGAUUUAUUUUAUAUUUUUUUUCUAUUAUUUAAUAAGUGUUUCUUAAUAAAGCUGUUACAUUUUGUCGAAACUAAUAAAUUUAUUACCAGUAAUAUAGAGAUUGGCUAGAAAAAAAAAAACUGAUAUCUAUGAGAAAAAAAAAUAAUUUAAGAUAGAAAGACAAAAAUAAAUCUAAAAUACAGGAUAAAGAUUGAUAAAAUACAAUAAUAUAAUAAUAUUUUUGAAAAAAAGAUAAUAUAAUAAAUAAAAAUAAUACUAAAGUACAGUCUAGUAUUGUAAUUUUGCCUAAACAUUUUUGUACUUUCUUAGGGCAAUAAUUUAAAAUUUUAAGGCAUAGUAUAAAGGCCUAACUAAUUAAUACUAAUAGUCAAAAGGUAGUUGGGAGAAAAGGACAUAGGGUAUACAUUUUCGUUUCCGAUCGAUGGGGCUAUAGAAAAUAUAUCGUAACUUAUUUAUUACACACAUGUGCAUUGCGACAUGUGAAAAUAUAAUAUUAUGCAUAAAAAUAAAUAAAAUACCUUUUUAAAAGUCCAACUUGUGUGCUUUUAGAGUCCGGUGGUCUUCGUACUAUCAAGUCGUUUUCGAUAUUAGGAUUUCUGAAUCAACGAUUGGUUCCGUUGGAUUUGGUUUAUAGUAUUUCAAGUAUUCAUAAAUAUAUAAAUUUCAUAACUUUUAAAUAUCAUAUACUUUGUAAUCACAAUGGCUUAAAAUCAAUGGCUGAAAAAUCAAAAUCUUACAAAAAGUGAUCGUAUGACACUAUAAUUUUAGAUAAAAAAUAUUAACUUUCUUUUAUAUAGUAUAAAAAAAAAUUUUGUCAAAAUUUUACCUGCGUUGGAUAUUUCUAUACCGUGAAACAUGCAAACGAUUCAUCAUUACCAGUAAAAUUAUUGAUUUUGAGCCCCUUCGAUCACUAGGCAAAUGAUAUCGAAAAAUUAUAAAAUUUAUUUUUUAGGUAUUUCAAAUAUUCUCAAUCAAGUUCAAUAAAAUUGACCGUUAAUUUAAAAUUUUAAUAUAAAAAAUAAUUCGAUAGCCCGAAAAUUAUUAUAUUUUUAAAAGUACAUAAACAUGAGAUCUCAAGUGGAGCCUAAAAAAGUCAUAACGAAUUGUGGUCCUCGUUUUUGGCUGACAGCAGGGUGGACCAGGUCCAGCUACCAACUUCUCUCCAGAAGGCGGCUGGUGGACUGAAGAAAAUUUAUCAACGCAGAAAAUUAAUAAAAUAAUGGGCUUUUUUUUACAUUUAGGUCCCUCAAAAAAAAUUUAUAAAUUGGCCUUAAUAAAUUUAUAUUUAUAUAAAUAGCCAUCUUCUUGCCACAAGAGUGCUUAAAUGAUAUUUUUAAGUUGAGCAUGAUAAUUUAAUUACUGUGUUUAAAUGCGGUGAUUGGAUUACCGUAUUUUCUUUUAUAUUUUUUUCACCCUUAAAUGAAAAAUGAGGGAUUAGAAUGUGAACGCGAAUACAGUGAUUCAUUUAUCGUGUUCAACUUAAAAAUAUAAACGUGGCGCUAGCAUGGCAAGUAGAUGAUCAUAUGUAUAAAUAUAAUUGAGAGAUCUCUGUGAAUAUUUUUUUCCAAAAUUAUUAUUUAAAAUUUUAAACUUUAGAGUUAUUUGGUUCCUCGAAAAAAAAAUAGUAAAAAAUAUUUUUUGAAGAAAAAAAAUUUCAUCUAAAAGAAUUUUUUUAAUUUCUGUUGUUUGAUUUGACGGAAAAGAAAAAUAGUUUUUCAUGUAUGCUCGUUUGGUUGAUAAGAAAAAAUAAAUAAAUAAAUAAAUUUUCGUUUCUCUUUCACUUAUUUGGUUAGUUGAAAAUUUUGGUUUAUAAACACCUUCUAAAAAAAAGGAUGAGAUUACCGACCUUUUAAAAUUUAACAUAGAAAUACUAUUUUUUAAAAAGUAUAUAAAUAAUAAAUAAUUAAAUAAAAAUAAAUUUUAAUUAUAUUUUGAAAUAGAUAAAAUAAUUUGAUAAAAGACAGGGAGAUGAAGGAGAUGGCAGAUGCCAAAUAUAGAUAAUUCUAUAUAUAUAUUGGGGAGAUAGAGGUGACGGUGGGAAGAUGGUGUAAAUAAAGAAUUAGAUGGUAAAUGUACACCAAUAUAUUAGAAAAUUAAUAUUUUUUAUUUCUUAAAACAAAAAUUCAAAUGGAAAGUUUUAUGUGAAAUAUGAAGAAUAAUUUUUCAAAAAAUCUAUCUCUUCUGCAAACCAAACACAUAGAAAAAAAAAAUAGUUUGAAAAAAGGGUUAAUUACACCAUUGGUCCCUAACCUUUACACCAUUUUUCAGUUUAGUCCCCAACCUUUUUUUUGUAAUUAAGUCUCUAAUCGCUUGAUUUCAUUACAAUUAAGUCCCAACCGUUAGAUAGAUAUUAAAAUUGAUGGAAAAUGCCACGUCAGCACUAUGUCAGUGCCACGGAUGCGCCGUGUCAGCGCCACGGAGGCGUCGUGUCAGCGCCACGGUGACACUUUGUCAGCGGAUUGCCAAAAAAAAAAGGUUGGGGACCAAAUUGAAAAACGGUGCAAAGGUUGGGAACCAAUGAUGUAAUUAACCCAUUAAAUUUAUAAAUUAAAAAUAAGAUUUUUAAUUUAAGAUUUAAAUUUUAAAUUUAAAUUUUUGAUUUUGAAUUCAAAUUUAAAUUGGAAUUCAAAUUUCGAUUUUGUAUUUAAUUUUAAAUUUUAAAUUUUAAAUUCAAAAUUCACAUUUCGAAUUAUUAAAUUCUAAUUUAAUUUCAAACUUCGAUUUGAAAUUUUAAAUUCAAAAUGUGAAUUUGAAUUUGAAGUUUAAAUUCAAAUUUAGAACUGAAAUCAAAUCUUAAAUUCAAAUUUAAAUUUGAAAUUCAAAUUUAAAAUUAAAAAUCAAAAUUUUGAAUAUGAUUUUAAAUUUAAAUUCCGAUUUUAAAUUUAAAUUUCGGUUUCAAAACUUUCAUUUUAAAUGUAAAUUGAAAUAUCAAAAUCAAAAUCAAAAUUUUAAGUUUGAAUUCAAAAUUUAGAUUCAAUUAAAAAUUUAAAUUUAGAAUUUGAAUUUCAAUUCAAAAUUUUAAUUUAGCUUUAAAUUCAAAUUCAAAAUUCUAAUUUCUCGUUAAUUUAAAAUUUUAAUUUUAAUAUUAUUUUUGAAUUUAAAUUUAAAAUUUUGAAUUUUUAUUUUUAGGGACUAAAGUGAAAAACGUGCAAAGUUUAGGAAUCUAAAUUAAAAUGCAAAAGGAUGCCAAAUAGGCGCUGAUGUGGCGAUUCCGUUAAUUUUAACAGUUUUUUAUGGUUGGGACGUAAUUAUAAUAAAUUAAGAGAUUAGGGACUCAAUUGUAAAAAAAAGGGUUCGGUAUCUAAGUAAAAAUUGGUGCAAAGGUUAGGAAUUACUGGUGUAAUUAACCCUUUGAAAAAAAAAAGAGGUAUUUUUUAAAGGGACAAAGAGGCCAUUAGGAUAAAAGAGUGCAAGAUUUAUACAUUUUUUUGGAUAUAUCAAUAGCACUUAUUUAGAACUAAUUGCACCAUUUGUUCCCAUCAUUCUUCGGAUUUUCUACUUUGGUCCCUACUCUUUUAUUUUUCUAAGCAACUAACUAAAAAAGUUUACACCUUAGCCUUUAGAUUGUGAGGAACUAUUCACUAUAAGGUAGCAUUUGGUUCCAGGAACCGGUGGAAUAAGCUCUUGUUUCCCUCUUUGUUCCCAGACGCAGUAUUUGGUGUUCGAGAACAAUAGUUUUCGAAAUUCUGGAAUAAGCCGUUAUAAGGCUGGAACUGCUGUUUCACCUUUUCCCUGAAACAAGCUUGUUCCUAGGUGAGAAUAAGAUUAUUUAAAGUUUAAAAAUAAUUUUAAUUAUGGUAUUAAUUAAUUAAUUAAUUAAUUAAAUUAAUUAUAUUUAAAUUAUUAUUUAAUACUUAAAUAAUAAAAUAAUUUAUUAAUUUAUUAUUAUAAUUAUUAAUUAAAUUAUUAUUAUUUAUAGUUAUUAAUAAUUACUUAAUUUAUUAAUUUAUAAUUACCUGAACUUGUAUCUAUUCCUGAAAUAAGCAAUUCUUAUUUAUAUCCAAACCAAACGUAGCCCAAUAAACUUAUAUUUUUUUUAUUGAAUUUCAGGGUGUAAAAUGUUUAUUCCUAUAUAGGGUAUACGUGUAGCUUUUUUUUUUUUUUUCUGUUAGAUUUCUUUUUUUCAUAUAAGCACCCAUCGUGUCAAAUCCAAUCUUAUUACUUGUAAUAUUUUUCUUUAUGUAUCUAUGAUCAUCUCCACUUUGCACACUAAACCAAUUAACCCAAAUUUUUAAUAAACAUGUAAUCUAAUCAACAACUGGCUCAUAAGUCAAAUCAAGCUUGCGCCUGCUUAGUGCCCGGACUGCACUUCUGCAGGUGCGCCAUUAAUAUAUAGGCUCUCCCCCCAGCUCAAUCAUUGACUCUCACAGGUGGGAGUCAUCAUCCCAAGGGCAAAUAUCUUUACUAUAAUCGGCCAGCAUUCGAAAUCGCGUUUGAAGAGAAGUGACCCUUAACGAGUAUCAUAACAUAUCUCUAUCGAACUCAAUGUGGCUUAAAAGAUCGCAAAUAACUAUCCUGGUGUUCUCGGCACAAUCAUAUAGUGUCUACUAACUCAUAUGUCAACAUAAUAUAAUCAUAUGCCUCACAAUAUCCAGGAUCUAUCCAUUACUAUCAUACUAAUCUCAUGGUACCAAUUACAUUUAUUGACGCUACGUUCAGCAAGGCUAUUUUGUUGACGCUUCGUUCGGACAUUAAAAAAACUCCGUCAGUUCGGCGGGUCUAUUGACGUCCCCGUGAGCUUCUGUUGUGGAAUCGAGACAUGACAGAUUAAAAACUAGGCUGAUUAUUAUUAUUAUUAUUAUUAUCAUAAUAUUUGAGCAGGCAUAGGUGGGAUUUUAUUGAAGUCGACGCGGACUAGAUUUGGAUGAUAAGGCAAAGAUUAGGAUCUAAUAAGAAAAAAAAAAAACUAGUUAGGUAUCAAAGUAAAAACUUGAUAAAGGUUAGGGACCCAGAAAAAAGAGUUGAGAUGUUCAUUUCAAGACCCAACGUAGUUCAGGGGUCGCCAUAAAUAUUUGCCAAAAUAAUGCACAGAAAAAUUAAAAAAAAAAAAUAGUGGGCAAGAGAGAAAGAGAGAGAGAGAGAGAGAGUGGGGAAAGAACUCCAGAAGGAGGAGAAGAAGAAGAAGAAGAGUGAGAGAGAAGAAAGAGGGAGGGAGGGAAGACAGCCAUCCCUAACUAAAAAAGAGAAAAAUGGCGACGAUGCAGAGCUGGCGGAAGGCGUACGGCGCCAUCAAAGACCACACCACCGUCGGCCUCGCCAACCUCAACAGCGAUUUCAAGGUCCCCCCUUUUUUCUAGGGCUCCUCCCCCCCGCCCCCCAAAAAAGAAGCAUUUUUAUUUCAUUUUUCUCCUUUUUUUUUUUAACAAAAAUUUCGUGAUUUGAUCUGUUCUUGUCCCCUCCUCUUCCUCCUCCUAAAUCGGCGCUCCUCAACCAACAAAUUUUUUUUUUUAAAUUAGAAAUUAAAAACUGCUUUUAUUUUAUUUUAUUUUAUUUUAUUUUUUAAAUUUGUAGGAAUUGGAUGUGGCGAUCGUGAAGGCCACGAACCACGUGGAGUGCCCGCCCAAGGAGAGGCAUCUACGGAGUAUGAUCCAAUCCCCCCCACCCCUUAAUUUUAGGACCAUUUUCCUAUUUUUAGUUAAAUUUACACACAAACAUGCAUAUAUAUAAGUGUGUGUUUGUGGGAUGAGAGGAAUUUGAGGGGUUGUUGAUGAAUGUGAUCUUGAUCUUGAUGAUGAUGAUGAUGAUGAUGAUGCAGAGAUCUUUGCGGCGACGUCGAUCGCGCGGCCCCGGGCCGACGUCGCCUACUGCAUCCACGCCCUCGCGCGGCGCCUCGCCAAGACGCGGAAUUGGACGGUAACCGGAAUCGAAUCUUAUCCCCCUCCUCUUCUUAUCUCUGUGUUUUUUGUGAUGCUUUAUAAUUUCAAGUUCAUUGGGGUUCUUUUGCUAUAAUUUGAUUAGGAUUUAGGUGGUUAAUGCAACUUUCGCGGCAAAAUCUCUUGCGGUAUGUUUGGUGGUGUUGAUAGUUACAAUGAUUAAAUGGAUUUCAAUUUAUUUGGACUAGUCUUAGCCUUAAUGUUCAUAUACUGUAUAUCAUUUGAUAAGUUAGGGAUCUUGUAUAGGGUUUAUUGUGCGGUAUAGUUUCAUAGGAAAACGACCUUAAAACAAUAUUUUCCAAUGAUGAAUUAUUAAAAAAGUAUGAUCCAAAUAUGUAUCACUCUGAUGAUGCAGAGUCUUGUUAGUUUGGUUGAUUUAGAUUGACUCCUAUUUUCGCUUGUAUGGAAACAAUGUAACUAGCACAAUGAUCAAGUUUGACAAAAUUUAGUCAAUUUGUGGUUUGAUUCUAUCAAUCAGUAAUUUGUUUAUGACAUUGAGGUUGAGACCUUGAAGUAAAUCGUAUUUGCUAAAUUUAUGGUAUCAGGCUAACUGCUUAAAAUUAGGCGGUUGAUUCCACAUAUUAGUUAAAUCAAUCGAGUAAAACAGGACAAAUUUAAAGAGAUCAUAUGUGGUUGAGAUGAACCGAAGGAAUGCGGAAUGGGUUGAAUGGUUAAAAUGGAUGCGAAGAGUAUGUAGCAUAUGAAAAGAAGCAUGUUAAAAAAAUCCAGAGCAAAAUUACAAUGGAUUUCAAGGAGAAUUAGAGAUAGCUUCAUUGUGAAUCUCCAUAUGUCAGUUCCAAUGGGUUGUCGAGUCCGCCUCACGGAAGCUUCGGCAAGUAUCACACUGCUUGGCCCAAAGGUUGUAGAUCUCGUUGUUGAGUUCUGAAACAACUUGUUUUGGAUAAGGAAGAUUGGGCGGAUAACAAAGGCAUUUGGAAAGUGCUUAUUUCAAUAACGGUAGAUUCAUCUCUAACCACAAUCCUUGGUUAGAUUGCAUUAAAUUCCAUCCAAUUCUAUUCAAGAUUCAGCAGGACAUUGCUAAGCAACAAGAGAUUUUUAAUAGUACGAGCCAGAAAGGAAAAUAAUCAAGUUUGCUAUCCUCAAACUGAAAGAUCGAAUGUAUUGGAAUGGUGGAAGAAUAAUGCUAUGCCCAUUUCCAGAAGUAGAUGGGAGUAGAAUUUGGACAAUUAGAAUUGCAUUGUUAGAUGGUUUACACAAAUAAUGUGGUGGUGAGAUCCACAUACCAUCCAAACCAAUCAUUUACUUCAGCCUAGAUUCUACUUUCAUCUACUCUUGGGAGUGGGCGUAGCAUUAUUCAUGGUGGAAAUAGUUUGCAAUUAACACACAACUAGAAAGGGCAAAGAGAACUUAUCUCCUUAAGAUGAAAUGAAACAAAAGUUAGAGGAAAUUGCCUAUGUAAUGACUAUGGAUUGACCUUUUCUUGAAGCUUCAACAAUUUCAGGCAAACCCCUUAAUCUGUAAUGUGCUGAAGAAACUUAUUCUUUUAUGACAUGGAAUGAUCUAAAAGAAUGUGUAAUAGAAAGUAGCAUGAUGUAUUAUUACCUUGCGUCUUUAGAUUCAAGAUGAAUUAAUUCUUUAUGACUUUCGUUAUAGGUGGUGAGCCAUUGCAGAGAGGUUAAGUUACAAAUAUAUGAAGCCCUAGGUUAGACAUUUGCUUCAAGUUUGGUUGGGAGAGUUUGAAUACUGAGAAAUUCAGCGAGUGAAGAAAAUAUAGCACAUCCUAGACUCUGUUGUUCAGGUCUGCAGCCUUAUUACUUCCUAUGACAUGUUUUAAAUGCAUAACCCAAUCACCACUGUUCUAAUGACCCAUCAAGAAUGUUUGACUCACUGUUAAAUUCAAUUUAAAUGAAGGAAAGAUGAAUAAGAGUUUCAAAACUAGGAGGAAUAUGAAGCUAUUAAUGACUGCCGAGUGCCGAAUUGAUUCUCCCCCUCAUUUUUUUUGUUUUAUGGGUUUGGAUACUUUAUGAUCAUAUUUUAAGUGGUUGAGUAGACGAUACCUGUGAUUUGAAAUCUAAAAGUUGUUCUUUGUUAUUUUCUUUUCUUUUUCUGUGGUUAAUUGUUAUUUUAAACCGUUAAUUAUGCUUCUUUCUUGGAGGAAGUUAUACUUCUCUAUUGGUUAAAGUAACUUGUCAACAUUUUCAUGGUAAAGUCUCUUGCCUGAUUUUGCGAUUGCGGGGAAAUAGGUGGGCCUUCGAAAGGCUUGCCUUUACGUAGUUUCGAAACUGCUUGAUCAAAUGGAUUCUAAUUUUUUUUAUUAACCAUGUAGAUAAUGAUGACGAUGGGUUUCAUGCCGUCAUAGUCAAUAGACUCAAUAUGUUCAUCAUGCAAGUUAAAAAUCUUGUAUAAGAUUUAUUGUGCGGUAAAGUUUUAAAAAUUAAGUAUUAUGUUAAUUUUGAAAGGCAGGUAUUGCGCAUGGAUAUUUGCAAAAUCUAGUAGAACUUAACAACCAUGUAAGACUAUUAUAUAUAAAUUGGAAAAAAGGAUAAAAUAAAUCAUCUCAAUUUUUCCCUGUCGAAGUUAGGUUAUUCUGUACAUUAUCAGAUAAAGUUGUGUUAGAUCCUCAGUAUAUAGUAUAUACAGCAUCUUGAAAUCCAGCAAAACUGAUUAUGCGAGAACACUCUAACCAAUGUUUUCCUAAGAAAAAUCAAACAAUUACAACCUAUCUGUGUAUUACUCAGAUAAUGGAAUCUCGUUAUAUUUGAUUGGAUUAUUAGUAUUUUUAAUUUCCUUCUCAGAUUGAUUUAGAUUUAGCCCCUAAGUCAUUUGUAUGCAACAAUUUGAAAUUUUGAAUUGCAUCUUCUAGUUUGAUUCCGUUAAUUGUUGCUUUCUUUAUGGCUUGGAGGCUGUGACUUAUAAAUAGUUUAAUUUGACAAAGUGAGGAGAUUAGAUUAAAAAGUUUCUUUGUGGCUUAUAAAUAGUUUAAUUUGAUAUACUUAGGAGAUUAGUUUAAAAAGGAUGCAAAGGAUUGGUAUAUCAUACUUCAUCAAUAGUAAGAAUAUUUACUGUACGAAAAGCACUAUCUAAGGCGAGUCUAGAGCACAACUAAAUGAUUCCUAGACGAAGCAGAUAGUUUCAUGCAAAUGUCAUUAGCAGUUCCAAUGGGUUGUUGAGUCCACUCCAUGUGAUCUUCAACAAUUAAUCACAAUGCUUGGUCCAAAGGUUGUAGAUUGCAUUGUUGAGGUCCAAAACAACUUGUUUUGGGUUAAGAAGAUUUGGAUGGUAACAUAUGGUAACCGCCGACUAGAAAGCAUUAGAUUCACCUCUAACCACAAUCCUAGGUUAGAUUGUAUUAAAUCCCAUCUUUCCGGCUUCUAAUUCUAUCCAACAAAUUUUUGCAUGGCUGCAAGAGAUGUUUAACAAUACAAGACCGAAAAGAACAUAAUCAAGUUUGUUAGCCUCAAACCGAGAGGUCAAAUGUGCUGGUACGGUGGAAGAGUAAUGCUAUGCCCAUUUUCGGGAGUAGAUGGAAGUAGAAUUUGGACUGUAGGAACCAUAUCGUUAGAAGAUUUACACAAAUCAUGUAGUGGUUGGCUCCACACAUUGUCUAAAGUAAUCGCACUUAGCUCAGAUUCUACUCUCAUCUACUCUUGGAAGUGGGCAUAGCAUUAUCUAUGGUGGAAAUAGUUUGCAAUACAAUAUGAUUGGAAAAGGCAAGGAGAAUUUCUCCUCAAGAUAAAAUUAAACGAAAGCUUUAAGCAAAGUGCCUGCCUAAGGACUAUAGAUUGACUCUUUUUUUGUUUGAAGCUUCAAUAAUUUUCUAAGUCCAAAUCUGUUAUGUGCCGAAGAAUUUAUUCUUUGACAUCAUGGAAUGAUAUGAAAAGAAUGUGUAAUAGAAAGUAGCAUGAUAUAUUUUGAGGUCGUGCCUUUAGAUCUAAGAUGUGGAUUAGCCUUUAUGACUUUCUUUUAGCUGAUGUAGCCUGCAGCUGAGAGGCUAAGUUACAAAGAUAUGGAGUCCUCGGUUAGGCAUAUGUUUCAAGUUUGGUUGGGACUUGGGAGAGCUCAAAUAAGGAGGAAAUCGAUAAAGUAGGAAAAUAUGGCACCUCCUAAUCAAUAUUGUAACCAAGAUUAUACUUUUGAGGGUUAUUUAGAUCUUAAGCCAUGUUAUUUGUUAUGACAUGUAUUAAAUAUCAGCCAAUUUCUGGUCUUCUGAUUUCCCAUUAUUAAUAUUUCACCCACAAUCAAAUUUAGUUAUGUUUCGCCCACGAUCAAAUUUAGUUUAACUAUAGGGAAAAUGAAGAAGAGCUUGGAUACUAAGAGGAAUAGAAAGAACCUACGGAUGACGAAGAGACUAAUAUCUCUUUGUAUAGGCUGCAUUACGUUAGUUUUGCCCCACGUGAAGCUAAAUUGAACUAGGGAAGAUAAAAAAAAGCUUGAAACCAAAAGGUGCUGAAUGAACAUGCGGAUGAGCAUUUAUUGAUCAUUUUAGAAAGGGUGCAUAUGGGAAUGGAAAUGCAUCUUUUCUCUUUUCGUGUGGUGCCAUGUGUAGGGCUGUAUGAUUUCGAAAGCAUAAAAAAGUAGUUGGAUUAUGUGAUGUUUGUUUUUAUGCUAUUUGAACUUUUGGGGUUAAGUUGGGCUUCAUGAUUAAUGAUUGUUAACAGUUAUAGCAAGGAAAACUUUGUCUCUCAAGAAAUGAUCAUCACUUAAACGGAAGGAAAGUUAGGAAGGACACAUACGACAUAAGAUUAUGUGGUUUAAGGGAGGUGGUGAGGUUGUUAUGACUAACCAGACUAGUGAGAUUUUUGAAGGUGCACCAUGUAAGUCUUGUUAUUUAGGUUGGCCAUGGUAUUUUGAUUGGAAGAUUUUAUAGGAAGGUCAUAAGAGCAUGUAUUAUUAUUUAAAGAGUAAGGUGCAAACAAGUUGCAUCAACAAAAGAGAUUAGAUUACUAAGUCCCACCCAAAAAUGUUCAAGUACCCUCCAAACGAAAAGAACGUUGAGAGGAAGCCUACCAUUUUUAAGAGAAAACCUGUUUCAUCAUAGCCUGUCCAAAUCACUUAUGGACCUAUUGUCAAUGUUUACAAGAAGCUCUUAAGGCAUUUUCGAGACCAAGGAAGGUCAACCAUCGCUUGACGAAUCUUCAAACUUAAAGCUACAAAGUAUUUCUAAGAUCGAUCUCAGGAGUAGGUAUUAUCUCAUAGAAAAAUUUUUUCAGAGGAUAAAUGGAAGGUCUUUUUUGAUAUCUUUGUUUAUAAUUCUUGCUCUAUACUUCACAUAGAUUAUUUGUUGAGUGUUUAAACUUUGAGAGUAACCUCCUGCAAAUCAAUCUCCAAAAAGUGUAUCCUCUUUACCGACAGUUUAAUUUCCCUUGUUGAUUUACAUUUGGUUGAAGGUAUCAAGGUUGAUCCGACUAAGGUGGAAGCCAUCUAACACUGACCUAAUCUUGCUAUUGUCACAAGACUAGAGGGUUUCAUGGUCUUCGACUAUGUCAUUUUGUAUUUAUUUGCGGUUCCUUUUUUUUUUGGCUUCAUUGCUCCUGAACUUAAUUGGCGGAAAUGGGUAGUGCUAAUGAAGCCUAAAGCUGACAGAAGCUUGUAAUUUAUAAAUGCCGCAAUUAGUUCUUUAGUGUUGGCACUAGGGAAUUAUGGUAGGACAUGUUGAUUAUGAUGCCUCUGAUGUAGGCAGCUCUGUGAUCCAUUUACAAGUGAAUACUUGCUGUAUUGUCACAUUUUCUAUAAAAGCUAAAUUAUGUGCACUCACAAAAUUGAACUUGUGGUCGAGAAAUUUACUCACUUAUACAGGCUUUAAGUAGGCAUAACUUUGACAUUGAAGCCCUGUUAUUUGAACUCACAGAAGAAUCUUAGUAAAUGCCAUGCUUAGCGGCCUUCAGUUCGGAGGAGUACACUAUCCACCUCAGACACAGAUGCGUUUAACAAUACGAUUGCCCUACAUACCUAGACUUUUUAGAUAUGAAGUCUUUCCAGAUUGAGGUUGCUAGUCAGAUAGGGAUUCAUAUAAUGAGAUCAACACAUCAAUCUAAGUUUGAGUGUUGUCAGCUCUUUGGAGGCAGAUGUUACAGCAAAUUUUCUUGUUCAUGAUGAUGAUUUGUUUAGAAGAACUUGUUGCUGUAUAGCUGUUGAGUCCCUUAGGGAGAAUAUAGUACACUAUUUGCAUAGUGCAACGGUGUAUCUCACAUAGUCACAUACAUCGAGACAUCCUAUCAUAUUGGUAGUAUGAGGUGUACCACAUGAAUGUACCACCAGAAGAUAGUAUAUUUAUCAGCCCACUGCUGAGGCUCUUGUCCACUUUAUUUUCUGCACUAAAUAGUGAAAGCACAUUGCAGCAUACUGAGGCCACAUCUGUGAUCCUUCAGUUGAUACAGUUUCUUCUUCUUCUUCUUUUUGUAAUGGAUAGAAGGUUUGUGGAAUGUGGGAAUGCAUGCUCCAUGGACUUCACCUGACAUCUUGCAAGCAUCUGGAGUACUGGAACCAUGACGAUAUCAGUGAUUGGAAGAACGCCUAGUCCAUUUGAAACGCUGUAAUGAAAUGAAAUAAAUUCAUAAGAGAUAGAAGAAGAACUUCUAUUAUCAGCAAGAGAAAGUGGUAGCUAAUUCACUUCUUAUAAUGGGCUUGUAGUUUCAGUUCUGAGUCUGGGCAAGCCCCGUAGGAUAGAAGAGACAAAUUUUAAAAUGAGAGAGGCUUUGGAUUUCUGAACUCAUACGUGGUCUAUCAGCAAAUGUGCAAGUCAACAUACAGAUUGGUCAAAAUUGAGGCAAUGUAUUAUAUUUGUGGAUCAAUUACCUGAAAUCUUUCAAGUUUCCUUGUUGACGGGCAGUAGUUGAGGAGCAAGAUAAAGAAGUAUGACUGUAACUAGACCUUGUUAGGACACAGUUCUUGGUAACUUCUAUAAAAUUCAGUGGAAAAUUAUGAUGCAUUGCAUACUUGCUUACUGGUCAUUUAAAUCCCAGAAUUUAAGUCAAAUAAGCUUCUCUCACCUUGUAAUAUGCAUUUUGUCUAGUUUAUCCUGUUCUGUCAUAUUUUUUUGUUAACUGUACAUUGAUGCUCAUUACCCAUUAGUAGGAGCAAAUUAAUUAACGUAAGAAAAACUUAAUGAUGUUGGAUUACUGGUCAUAUUCAAAUAUUUUCGAAUUAGUUUGGCAUCUUAACCUGUUAUCAGAAUUUCAUUUUUCCCAUAGUCUCUUUCUGUAGUUUGUGUGGGUAGUUAGGAUGUAAUGAUAAUAAUUUUUAUAUGGCUGGUUCAGGUGGCUCUGAAGACUCUGAUAGUAAUCCAUAGGCUUCUAAGGGAGGGUGAUCCUACAUUUCGUGAAGAGCUACUUAACUUCUCACAAAGGGCACGCAUUCUUCAACUAUCAAACUUCAAGGAUGACUCGAGCCCCAUCGGUUGUUCAUUUCACCUUAAUUUAAUAAAGAAAAACUUCUGUAGCGGGUCUUAGUUCUUGUUUAACUCAUAGAUAUCUUACUUUUCGGUACUAAUUACUUUGCAGCUUGGGACUGUUCUGCAUGGGUUCGCACUUAUGCUCUCUUCUUGGAGGAAAGACUGGAAUGCUUCAGGAUCCUCAAAUAUGACGUUGAAGCUGAGCGUUUAUCAAGACCUGGUCAGGGGUCUGAAAAGGUGUAAACAUUAAAUGCAGCACCUUUUAUAACAUCUAUGUUUCUGCUUUUACUAAUUGUGAUUUAUGCUUUUUUGGCAGGGCCACAGUAGAACAAGAGAGUUGGACACUGAGGAAUUGUUGGAGCAGUUGCCUGCUCUGCAGCAGUUGUUAUAUCGACUUAUCGGUUGUCGGGUACCUAUCUGUGACACAUCUUUUUUCUUGAAUUGAUAUAUUAAAUGUUUAGGGACUCGUAGUAUUAUAAAUGAAUGUGCCCUCAUUUGCAAGAUUUUACAUAUAAUAAAUAUUUUGGUAUUUCAUUCUUGAUGCAGCCAGAGGGAGCUGCUAUAAGCAAUUAUGUCGUACAAUAUGCCCUUGCACUGGUAAGCCUACUUUUUAUUGAUGUUCUCGUUCUUUUAUCGAUUGAUAAUGAUGUUGAAAUGUAGUUUUCUCUGCUGUACUACUUUUUUGGCCUUCUUCUGUGAUGGUCUUGAAGUUUGCACUAAUGAAUUUUACAAAAAUCAAGUCCACUGCAUUAGCUCUAGAAAUGAUUGUGAGAUCAUUUUCAGACCGCUUAAGAAAAAUUGCUUGAUUAAAUCUGUUUAGUAAUUAGUACAUUUUUGGGGUUUGAUGUCUAGUUCUUUUCCAGGUUGACCCCUUGCUGUUGCAAGUCAUAUAUACUAAUUUCUAUGGAGAGAAUUUUCUUUCCUUGAAAAUAAACUUGCAAUUUUGUGAGCCAAAAUUUUUGUAGGGUAGCAGUGGCCCUGGUCCAGUUGGCUUCAUAUAGGGUAAUGCUAGAGUAAUAAAAUUCUCUCGCAUCACAGCUAGAGAAUCAAACAAACUCAGGGUUCUCUUCCUAAACUUGAUAAUAUUGUGGUAUUUGGUUGAUGAGGAGCAUGAAAUGAUGCCUACAGCCUCAUACUUUAUGCUUUCUCUGAAAUAUUUUUUUUCCAGGUAUGAUAAAUCAUGUCUUAGGUGAAUGCAUUAUUCUUAGGUGAAUGGAUUAUACCAAAAAGUCAUGAUUAUGAAGACAUUGAAUUGGACUAAAUCGAGCUCUUAGGUUGCAAUUCAAGAGAGAAAAUCCCUGUGCCAUACAAGUUAUCACUAGAUAACUAUUCUCCACAUGCACAAUGCAGUUAGUUUCAGCAAAAUUUUACUUGUCUUUAUUUUAUGUUGUCCUUUGAUAUCUGCUGAAAUGUAAUGACCUUCAACUCUGGCCAACAAAAAAUAUUUGACAAAGUUUUCUAUAUUAUGAUCCAUCUCGAGUAAGAACUUAUGUAGUUGGAUUUCUGAAUUUCAGUCAUUUAACUUCAUGUGCAGCCAACUUAAGUAAGCUUUUACCACAACUGGCCAUGCCAAGGUGGGUGGGUUAUAUCUUGCUACUUGGUAGAUGUAGGACUAAAACACAUGGCUCUGAAUCUCUGAUAAUAUGAUCAGCAGAUUAUUGUUACUUCUGCUGGUUGAAUCAUGGCUUUAUUGUUGUUUAUUCUCAAAAAAAAAAAAUCCUAGAGUUGAUUAUUUUAAAUCGUGGCUUUAUUCUAAGGUUGAUUAUUUUAAGAAUCCUAGAGUUGGGGUAUAGCUGGAGUCUUUUGUUGGUUUUGUUGUUGUUGUUGUUGUAGCAAUCCUUGCUCCUUAGAUCUUACUUGGCCGAACAGAGGUGUUUAAAGCUGAAAGCACAUACCUUAUGGUUUCUUUCUUGGUUGCUUUGGUAUUAUAAUGUAUCAAUGGAGUGAACUAUAUAGUGGGGGUGAAGACGUUUUGUUUAAGUUGAGUGGCUACAAGAGAUUGACCACUUGUUUUUGCGUUUUAAUUUGCCCACCCCCACCCUUUUAGACCAGCUUAAAUAUCUUGGAUCCUUUUAGCACCUUUCCUCUCUAGAUUACAUGUAUUGCGUCACCCUUGAAGGAAACCAGUAGAAUAAUUGCACCAUUAAAACUAAUGCAAUGCAAUAAUAUCUUUUUUUUUCUUUCUUAUUUGUGCUUUGUUUUUGAGCUUGCACUCACUAAUGCGUAUCAAUAUCUCCCAUUUAUGAAUUUGUUCAAUUCAAUUAAAUACUUAGUUCAACUCAAGUCGCGUUGUCCCAUACUGAGUUGAGUUGGUUACAUGAGUCCUCAUCAUUAAACAAUAAAAGAAAAUUGGAGAAGUGGGGGGUCCAUAUAUGUUCGAAAAAUUUCAUAAAUAAUAGAACUUGACCGUGGAUGGGUAUCAUGAGCUCAUCAAAAUUCAAAACAAGAAUUUAAUACCCUAGAGCAAACUCCUGAUAAAACCUGUUCUAAAUUGGAGUUUUACUUACCCCCUAUUUUCUUUUUAACAAAUGCUUUGCAUUGAGGAAGUGAAAGUGCUAGGACAUAAUAUUAUCAUGGUUUUUUUUUCCCGCUUUUUAAUAAAUGAAAAUUUCCUUUCUUUUUGUGAUUUUUACAUGUUUUCUGUCCUCACUUGUUGAUGUUGUGCAUUAUGAGAUAUAAUUCUUGUUUAGUAUCAGUUUCAUAUUUGGGCGUCAUGUGUUAUGCAAUGUUUUUUUUUCCCUGAUAUAUAAGAUGUCCUAGGAAUGGUAGAGGGAAAAAUGAAAGAAAAAUUUACUGUGCUUCGUAAUGCAGGUUCUGAAAGAGAGCUUUAAGAUAUAUUGUGCUAUUAAUGAUGGAAUCAUCAACCUUGUGGAUAAGGUACAUAACUUGUGCAGUUAUUCGAUCGUUAAUAUUUUCUGUUACUAAGUUCUCUAUCCAUAUUUUCUCCACAAGUAUUUAUGUCCGUCUUUUUUCAUCUGCUUCUUAUUAUAGUUCUUUGAGAUGCCAAGACACGAAGCAAUCAAAGCUUGUGAAAUAUAUAGGAGGGCUGGUCAACAGGUAAUAAUACAGUAAUGCUGGAGUUUCACAUUUUAAUAGUUCUCAGAAUUUGAUAGAGGAAGAUGAACAUUGGGAUAUCAGGACUCAAAGCAACUUAUUUCACAAUUUACAGGCUGGAAGUCUUUCUGAUUUCUAUGAAAUUUGUCGGGGAUUAGAAUUGGCGAGGAAUUUUCAGUUUCCAAACUUGAGAGAGGUAGCAACAGCACAAAUCAUGGAUUUGGGGGUUUCACAUAAUACAUUUGUCCCAAUUUUGUGAAUGAACUCAUCUUUUGUUUCUUGUUCUUUCCAGCCUCCACAAUCAUUUAUUGCAACCAUGGAAGAGUAUAUAAGGGAGGCCCCACGAGUGGUUCCAGUUUCCAGAGAACCAUUGGUUAGUAGUAACUCAAUUUAAUUGCCUUUUAUUUAAUAUUUGACUUAGUUGCACUAGCUAUAUGUAGUAGUAACUUUUCUGCAUAGUUGCAUGGAAGAAAAUUGUAUCUGUUGUCUUUUGUUAUGCUUAUAUUUUGUUGUACUGUGCCACCUCUAAAUGCUUAUAGCUUUUCUUCAUGCUUUGAUUUCCUUUAGUUUUGGUAUCUCCAGAAAACUAGUGCAACCUUGAGGCAUAAUUACUUGGUUGAACUUGUCACUUGUUUUCUUGGAUCUAAAUUUGAAUUGUUGACUGCAUGUUUCUGUGGGGUCAGAGUUAGCGGCAACUAACUGCAAUGUAAGCAACUAUCGCAAUUCGCACAUAGUGAUCUGGUUCUUCCAUUCAAUCUCAUCAAUGAAUACAGUGAAAAGAGUAAGCUUGCGGCAUACCAGGGUUAAGGAUCCGAUUGUUGCAAUUGAAAGGUUGAGUACUAUAGUUGUAUCUUUUAAAAUGAUUGGGGACCCCUGAUGGCUGAUGCAAUUCUCCCUGUACAAUUCACUGAUACAGUCUCUGUUCUUUCUUAUUUGGCGAGAAAGAAAUAUGAGAGGUUGAACUUGGCAUACGUGAGCCUUUGAUGGUUUUUGUGAAAUUCCAUUCGUAACAUGCUUGUGCUGAAACAUCACUAGCAUGGUCUGACUCACCUUGAGAGUGUAGCACCAAAGAAAGCUAGUGGGCUUCGAGUUAUGCUCUAGUGCAAACGGUAGCUGGAUUUGAAAGGAUUGAUGGCUGGGAGAAUGUAGAGAACCUCUUAUCCACUGUAUCUCUUACCUUUCUCUCUAAACCUCAUUUUUGCUUUCCCAUUUUCUCUCUCUUCCUGUUGUCAGUCCUGCUGUAAAGUAUGGGUCUUAAUCUCUUAGAAAGAAAUUUCCUUAUUAGUCAGCUCUUCAUAUCUUAGUUCUACUUAAUGCUGGAAUUUUUACUAUGGAGUGAUGUGUGGUGGAAUUAGUUGGUAAACUGUUUUGUAGAGGUUCAUUUUAAACUUCAACAAAUCAAAUUAAUGCCUUGAUUCUGCUGUUGUUUGGCUCCAAGUUAGACUUAAUCUUAAAUUUAGGUUCGUCGUUCUCAUUCAGUCCAGGCACAUCAGUAGUCCUGUGUGGCAAUCUCGUCUAGUAUUUUUUUUUCGUUUGAAAUCUUAUAUUUUCUUGCUUUAAUGAAUUUUACACUUUUUAAAAUCUGUUUUCUAUUUUUGCUAUAAUGGACUUAGUGUGAUUUUCCUUUUUGAGCUUUUGUACAUAUCAUAGAUGCUUCACAUAUUUUAUUCUUUUGCCGUGAGGAUUACUGUGCUUCUGUGAUAUAUGUUUUGCUUGUUGUGUUUUUGCUUGUGUAUAUAAUAUUGUUAUCUCUAUGCUUUCUUGAUUUGUUUUGCGGUCUCUCUGUUUUAUUGUUCUUCUCUACUUUAACUCAAUGAGUAAUACACUACACACAGUUUAACUUUCCUAUAUAUAUCAUCAAAAAAUAUAUAUGUAUUUGAUAAUAGACUAUGUAUUGUUCCAUAUCGGGCAAGGAAGACAUGGAAAAUUCAGAAGAAAUUCAGUAAGCCAGAGUAGCACAGAACUUUGAAAGUAGCAACUUUAGAAGAAAUUUCUAUAAUAGUCACUUUUUUUCUUCUAUGCCAUGUGUGUGAGCAAGACAAACGAGGUUGAAGUGAAAUAAUUAAUUCAUGUUUAGCUAGGGAGGAGGUUUGUGUGUCUACUGAAGCAAGUGCUCGCAUAGUUGGGAUAGAACUUUGUGCUGAUCAUUAUUUGUCUAGUCACAGGUAGAUAAUGUUUUUCGUAAUCUACUUCAAAGAUUAGAAACAAUUUUUAAGUUAUAUCUUGCUCUACUACUCUUCAACCCAGAUUAGAUACUAAAAAUUUAAUUUGAAAUCAGGAAUUUCCUGAGAGGCUUCUUCUGACAUACAAACCUGAAGCAGUACCUGAACCUAUCGAGGAUGAGACACCACCCGUUGAGGAACCCAACCCAAUGCCGUCGAAUGGUGAAGUUACGCCAGUUGCUUCAGUUAUGUCGCCUCCUCCCAAGGCAGAAACGGCAGAAAUUGGUGAUCUACUUGUAAGUAAGAAUAGUAUAUUUUUUCACUCGUCGAUUACUCUUCGGAACUUAGUUCUUCUUUUCUAUCUGUUCCCUUCUCUUCACUCUGUAGGGAUUAAAUGAAACAAAUCCUGAUGCAUCAGCCAUAGAGGAGAGUAAUGCCUUGGCUCUGGCAAUAGUGCCGACUGGUAAUACUUGAUCUUUCUUUGUGGCUCGUCCUGGUAUAAUUUUUAUAAUAAUUAUUUAGGAUCGCCUUAUAUAUAUCACUGGAAAAUCAUAUCGUUACAUAUACUCCUGAAAAAUCUAAGUUCUCAUGUGUAACCCUGAAAAGUGCAAUUUAUUACAAAAAAAUACUUUUAGUUGGGGAGUAAUUAAAUUUGUUGGGUAGUUGAUUUUAUGUGAAAGGUCUUUUAAAGAGAGGGAUUUAUGUAAGUGCAAGGGUAUAUUGGUAUGGAGGUAUAUAAUUUAUACAUACAUCCAUAUGUAAAUAAAUAAGAUUGCCGGGCAUAUGUAUGUGAAUACUUAUAUCUUUACCAAUUGCGGGUUCCCAUUGACAGAUGGUGCUGCUUCUACAACUGGUUCCGGUUUUCAAGAUAAAGGAUUUGAUCCGACAGGAUGGGAACUUGCCCUUGUUACUACUCCCAGUAACUCUGGCCCUUCUGCUGUGGAAAGCCAGUUGGUUGGUUCUUCUUCCCUCUCGUCUGGAAUUGACUUUCUAGUUCUCGGGUAGUAUUGCUGCUUAUUAACUUGCAGGACACUUGUUGUGGAUGAAAUACUCUAUAAUUCUUAUUUCUAAGAGAUGCAGAAAUUUCUUUAUACGUGUUAUAUUUUCUGUUUGAUGAAUUUUCUGCUUAAAAUAGCCUGUAUUUUUAAGGAGAAAAUACAUAUUAAUUCAACAGGUUGCCAGUUACAGGCUAGUGAAGGAAGGUUCGUAAGAUUAGUUGAAACUAGAUGUUUAUUUAUAGGAAUCAAAGAUCCAUGCUACUGCCGGAGUUGAAACUGAAAAGGCAUGUGAAAAUCAGAAAACGUUGAAUUGGUGGUUGUGUGGGGUCCCAAAGUGGAGGUUGGUGAUGGUUAUCUAAGCUGUGGCUUAGGGGUGUUUUGUUGCACGUAAUAACUGUUGAAAGGGAAAGGAAAUAUUUCUACGUGAAAGAAAUUUAUGAUUAGUGUUCAGUUUCGCAUAUAUGAAAGUAGUUUAUGAGACGUGUGUUUGGUUUGAAGGAAAAUAGGAAUAAAGGAUGACUGAGGGAGUGAAGUCUUUUCACUUGUCAGUUAGCUUUUCCACUGAAAUAUCCAGAAAAUGAAAAUGAAUGAUUUCCCUAAAAUAUGUGAGACAUUUUUUGCACCUGAAGAGUAAUUUACAUUGAAUCAAACACGUCUUUUCUGUCCGAAAAAUGUUUUUGGGCCUAUUUAAUGUGCAACUGAACACCCCCCUAAUGAUUGCAGUGAUGACUAAUGGAAAUUAUAUGUUGUCUAAUUAGAGGCAGCUUGCUUGUAACUGGGUGAUUUUUAUCAACUCAGCAGGUUUGAGCCUUUUAGAUGCUGUAGAGAUCUCGCUUUGAAUUCCUUAUAAAGAUCUAUGUUUCUUGCAACUUAGAGGGACAUUUCCUGCUAUGCAAUGGUUAUACAUAUUACAAAUUUAGAAGAUAUUACAGUAUUGAUUUUUCGUACUCGAAAUUUAAGAAAAGUGGGUUUUCUUUUCUUUCCAGUUAUGUUAUCAACUUUUCUUUUUAAUAUUUAACAGGCUAUUUUUGCUUGUUUAUUUACCCAGGCUGGUGGAUUCGAUAAGUUGAUACUAGAUAGUCUCUACGACGAGGCAGCAUAUAGGCAGCAGCAGCAGCAGCAACAACAAUACUACGGACCGUCGCCUCCGAACCCGUUCUUAGCGGUGGACCCCUUUGCAGUGUCGACCCAAGUGGCACCGCCUCCCUCAGUCCAAAUGGCGGCCAUGGCUCAGCAGCAGCAGAUGAUGAUGAUGCAAUCCAACCCCUUUGCGCCGCAGCCCAUGAUGCCGAUGCCCAUGGGAGGAGCCGUUGCCGCCGCACCCAAUAAUCCCUUCCUCGAUACCGGAUUCGGGACUUUCCCCGCGAAUAAUAAUCAGCCGCAGCACCAGAACACUCCUUUCGGAAGCACCCAAUUAUUGUAGGUUAGAUUUAAAGAAAAAAAAGAAAAAAAGAAGUUGAUAAAGUUGAUGUGUUUCACCAUAUAUUACGAUUUUUUUGUGUGCUCGGUUGAUACCAUGUGAAUGUCCUUGUCUCUAGUGGGUUCUGCUACAUCAUGUGUACUAGUAGUUGUUCUUGUUCUCUUCAGAGCGUGAUCGUGAUCGUGAUGUGUGAACUGUUUUGUAUUUGGCCCUUGCAGAUUCUUGGGUUGUAAAGAGAUGAGUAGUAAUUAAUGAAAACAUCAGGUAUAUGUUGGUAAUAAUGGCACAGUUCGGAGUUAUUUGGCGGGUCCGCUAUCUCUCUUUUACGAUGAUAUGAACAGCCGGUGUUCUUUGCUGUACAUUCUUCUUCCCUUUUUUUUUAAAAAAAAAGUUAUUGAAAUUUGGGCAAGUAAAUAUUUAAUGUGUGAUUAGUUCCGUUGCUUGGAAUUUUAUGAUCGAAUGCUUGUAUCGGUUUCUUUGCCGCUUAGAAGGGAAAGUUUCACUCUCGUAGCCGCUUAAAUCUUGCAAUUUUUCAGAUUGUAUGUUUGUGAUGUCUAAUAUCUUCUGCUGUUUUUGUGAAUUGGCCCUCUUAAAUUUGUGCCCUGAUCUUCAGUGUACAUAAUCUACAUAUUGGUUUGUGACAUGUGUUUGUGUAUUGCAUUUUCGGUCCUUAAAAAGUUUGAUUUGUCGCCUUAGGAGGCUUGAACUUUUGAAAUGAUUUACUCCGGAGAGUUGGAAAUUUAAUGUGCCAUGUUUCGUAAUUGAUCAUUAAACCGUCAGCUGUCAUUGCCUUGUUUUGUUUGGUUUGAUUUAAUUUUCGAUUUAGAACCAAACUGUGAACAUCCCCCUAAUGCCACAUUGGGCGGGAUCAAGCUAACAAAAACCAGAUCUAUAGAGUCAUUUUAGGAGAAAAUCGAUCAAUAGGAAAGUUAAUUUUGUUGGCUUAAAUGGGCCAGCAACCUGUCCUGUGGCGGAAGGUCAUGUGUGGGCUGAGUUGUGUUCGAAAUGGCGUGAGGCUGGGUGGGCCAAGUCAUGUUGGAAGUGGCGUGAGGCUGGUUAGGCCGAGUCACAAUCAAGACCCGUGGGCGCUGUAUCUGUACCCUUUAAAUGAAUUGGUUGCGUAUUUCUAACAGCUCGAGCUUUUGGGAUUAAUGAUUAGCGCCAACGAUCCGACAAAUUUGUGCAAUGAUUGUUGCCUUAGAAGUUGUCUUUAAUGUGAAGAGUUGUCUCUAAAGUUAGGAAUUCGAUCCCUGCUAAUUAGGAGUUCCAAUCAUGUACUGAUACUCAGCCAUCAGUACCGGUACUCCAUCUGAAGUACCGUAGAAGUCGAAAUUUUUCUAGCCGGACUCUCUACUAAGUACCGCUGUCUCAAACUUCAAUACUUGUAUAUGCAUAAAAGCUGUCUCUUUGCAAAUUUUGACUCAAAAGUCUAUUUUCGUGCUGUUUUCAUUCUAAAAUUUUAAUAUUUUUAAUAUAUUUUAGAUUAAAUAUUUUAAGCAUGUUUAGUUUUUUAUACAAUAUAUUAGUUAAAUAAUUUUUGAUUGCUAUAUGUGUUUAGUAAUUUGAUAAGCCAUACUUAAUAAUUUGACAUUGAAAAAGAGUAAACUUAAUAAUUAGAUAAAAUUUAAGCUAAUUUGAAUUAAAAUUAAAUUAAAUUAUAUUAAUUUGACAUCGAAAACUUGUCGGAUUUGGAUUAGGUAUGGAUUUUGUCCGUACUCGUGUAAUACACUGAACUUUUGCAAAUUGCGGAGUUCGAGUAUGUGGAAUGGUGUGUGGAUCAAUCCUACAUGUUCUAAAAUAUUAGAACAAGUUUUUGGAUAAGUUAGAGGAUGAUUAGAAUGCUAAAAGUGAGAAAUUGCAUUGAUCUGCGAAAAUCAGCAAUUUUCUGCUUGUUGUACCGGUACAGCCAUCACCUUGUACCGGUACAAGCUGGCAGAUUCGUGGCAGCAAGGUUAGUUUCGUAAUUUCACAUUUGAUACCUACCUAUUUGAUCCCAGCACGACUCUGGGACUUCAGUGGAGUGUGCUAGAGUGCUGAGGAGCUUCCUCCACCUUCUCUCCCUCUCUCUCUCUAGGGUUUUUCUCUCUCNUCCUUAUGGGACCGGUCUCUGGGGGACCGGUCUCUCAGGCAGAGACCGGUUCCCGAGAGCUAUCCUUCCAGGACUUAGCCGAUUUUUCGGCUGUCUCAUUUCAUACGUGUUCGGGGACCGGUCUCUCCCUUUAGGGACCGGUCCCCGAGAGCCGAAAAUCUGCAGUUUUGCAGAAUUUGAUUCUUUAGCUCUCGAAAACCUUCCACAACUCACUUUCGAUCAUUUUAGCACCUUCGGACUUUUCGAAGUGUACCGUCCUCGCACUUUGGUCAAUUUGACUAAAGUUCGAUAUUUAUUUUCCGAAUUUUCGGUAUAUUACACUCCCUCUCUCUCUCUAGGGUUUUUCUCUCUCUACUUCGAAUUCGUCGAUUUUGCUCGUUUUCGUCGCCGCGCUUGUUCUUCGCUGUUUGCGAGCGUCGCAGAGCUUUCGUGGACGCGUGAGAGAGUAUUUUGGAAGUUUCUUUGCAACUCUGGACCAGUGAAGUGCUGGUUGGAAGCUCGAGAAGGUAAACGACUCGAUUUUCUCCAUUAUCAACGUUCUAGUAGUCGUUUAUGUGUUGCUUUUGAGUUAUUGCUUCUAGUUGCUUUAAUCUGAGAUUUCAGCAAUUAAAGUUGGAUUAAUUAGCUGUGAAUUGAGCUCCUUAGACUAGGGAUAAGCUUCUUUGAAGGUUAAUUGAGAGACUUAGCCAUUUAUGAAGCUAAAUCGGAACUAAAUGCAUUUAGUUGCGCGAAUUGAUGCAAAUUGGGGAUUUUUCUUCGCAGCAGGUCUUCGAGCUUCGUUGAGCUGAAUUCGUACUCUUAGAAGCUGAUUUGGAAGCUGUUCUAACCAAGGGUAAGUAGGAAUUUCGGUUAGAAAACUGAAUUCGCAAGAUUCCGACUAUAUUAUUAGUAAUUGACGACUUUGUUGCCGUUUUGGAAAUUAUUCGCAGCGGGCUUGCAACGAACCUUCGGAUUACCUUCGACUGAUACGUGAGGGAUUUUGGAAACUUAACUUGAGGUAUUUAUUGAGCCAAAACAGGGAUUUAAGUUAUUCCUAUAUACUAAGUGCAAUUGCGCCGAAAUUGGACAUUUCGAUCGUAGUUUUGAUACGAUAUUUAUACUUCGUGUUCAGCAGGAUUGAGACCUAGUCGAGCUGAUCCUGAGGAUUCCUUUGGAUUGAUUUGAGCUUAGCACAAGGUGGGUCGGACCUAACCAGAGCAAGUAGAGCUCCCCUAUGUUCUAUAUGUAUUUACAUAAUAGAAUAAUCGCAUAGGUGCAUUGAGUGCAUAUGUGACUGAUAGAGAAUUGGAAACAUAUCAUUGUGAUAUUUGAUGAUUAAGUAGAAUGAAAUCUCUAUAAAAUAGAGAACAUAUAUGCAUGAAAGUACUUAUAUUCAUAUUCAAUUCAGUUGAAUGACUUAUGAACACGUGUAGGAUGCACUUUAAAGUAGAGAACAAUGACAUUCUCUUAACUCUAACGUAGAGAACUAUGACAUGCUCUUGACUAUGUUGAUAGUGCCAUACUAGUGGAAAGAUUAUAAUGCUAUAUGAUUUAGCUUUACCCUUACAUGUUUACAAUCUAGUGGAUACUAGCUUUUGUUCCUAUUUGUGUAUUGACAUUCCGAUCAGAGUAUCGAGGGUAAGAACUUUGUAAAUGAAAAUAUGAAAAUUGAGACAUGUGGACAAUGGAUUGUGCUUGCUUGCCACCGUGCUCAUUCGCACACGCUUGUGAGGGUCGCUCCCUACAAGCCGGCACUCCGGAGUUGGCCUACGCGACAGUUGCUCGCCCGUGCGGGAUUGGGUGCCGAAGUGGAUUGCCGUGGGGAGUGUAUACUACCACGGGGCCAUUAGGCGCGGCACAAGCUGGACUACCUUGAGUAGGUCCUAGUGAAUGAAAGGAAAAUGCUAAAGGAAAUUGGACAGUAAUGAAUAAUUACCAGUUACAGUGUACAGUAGUUACUUACACACUUAUGCUAUGUUUAUGCUUAUAGUAGUAGCCAUGCUUCUAUCAUUCAGUUGAUUCAUUACUGUUGAUGCUAUGAUCACAUGUUGUUUACAUGUUCAUUAUUUGUUAACAUUGGCUUAUGAAUUGUUAGCAUUGAAAAUAUAUCAUGCAAAUUACUGCUUUUAUUUCCAUUCUGUACAUCUUGAGCCUAGUGGUGUAAUUCGCCGAGGCUGGCGGCUUACCCACUGGGAACUAUUGUUAAUAGUUCUCACGCCCUUUUUAUGGUUGUUUUUACAGAGCCAUCUACAGGAGAGGCUAGGGAUCGUGGCAAGGGAGUCGCGUCUAGCUAGACUUUGCUAGGAGCGUGCUAGUCGAUCACCUUGCUACUCGGGCUACGGCCGAGGGUGAUGUCCAUUGUAUAGAGUGACUACCUUUGUUAAGAUGUUUUUGUGUACCCUGUGUUGUAUAUGAGUUGUAGAUCCAGAUGUUAUAGUUCAUACUUCUUCUCCUUUUGCUGACAUUUCGGAUUGUAUACUCUCUGUUCUUUUACUGAUUGUAAAUCGACUUGUACAUUGCUCUGAUAUCAGGAUAGGACUCUCUUUGUUUUACUUCCUAUCGACUUGCUUUCUUCGUAGACACCUUAUAUAUUGCAGGUGUAUGGCGGGUCUGUGCACGUACCGGAUAUGCUUCCGCUGGUACCCGGGCGUGACAACUCGACUCGAACCCGAAUCCUACCCACACCCGAAUUGAUUUUAUAUUAUCUAAUGUAUAUGAACUUUUGAUGUUAUAUUUGAACUAGUAUUUUAAAAAUUAAAUUUUAAUACAAUAUAUUUUGAAGGCUAAAAUACAAAGAAAUUUCUUAUAAAAUGUCUUCUUUUUUACUUUUUCUUCUUGAAUUUCAAAAACCUACAUGUUGCCUCCUCAAAAGUCCAAAAAUGGUUUCAGGGGCUUAUGACAUUAAUGGAGAAGGCGAAAUGACCAAAUUACCUUUAUACUUAUUCUAGAGGGGAAAAAAAAAAAUUUAAUGCAUUCAUGCUAUUUUAAAGGACAUUUUUAGUAUAAAUUAUAUGAAAUAGAUGGAACAACGACGGAACCUUGAUAGAGAGAGGCUAAGUGCAUCAACUUGAAAUUUUGGAGAGACGUAGGUUUUUAAAAAUUGACGGGGAAAGUAAGAAAACAAAUAUUUACUAGAAAUUUUCUGUACUUUAGGCUCUAUUUGAAUACAAAGUUAUAAAAUUCGAUAGAAUUUAUAUUAUGCAGUUUUGGCUUAGGUGAAAUAGGAAAUUCUGUAAUUUUAAAAAUUGCAUAGCUUCAAUUUUUCGCUUGGAUAUACAUUGCACAAUUCCAUUAAAUUUUGGCCAAUUACAAUUUAAAAAUAAAAAAUAAAAAAUAAAAUUUUAAAAUUUAAAAUUUUAAAAUUAAAAUUUCAAACAUUGAAAUUUAAAAUCUAAAUUUUAAAUUUUAAAUUUGAAAUGUGAUAUUAUAAAUUUAAAUUUAAAAUUUAAAAUUUGUAAUAGAAAAUCUAUAUUUAAAUUUAAAAUUUAAAAUUUAAAAUUUCAUCUUAAUAUAUAAAAUUUAAAAUUUGACACAUGGUGGGGGGAGGGAGCCCAAGUAUGGCAGAUAUUUUUUCUUAGCUUGGAGUGAAUUGUUAUUUUACUCUACUUUUUAGAGUAAAGUUUAACUACAUUCUAAGACAUAGGUAUUCUUUUGUGUCUUUUAAACACUUCAGGAUAAUUUUUCACAGAUAUAGCAUAAUAGUUUAAGGGAUAAUCAAACGGGGCUUUAGCCUAUUUUGAAAUACGACAAAGAAAAAUAAUUAUUUUAGAUUCUUGUUCAAAUUUCAGAUAUUUGGUCCGGUUCUGAUACAAAUAUAGAUUUUGAAUUCAAAAUCCAUCUUAUUCGAGCUCAGGUUUGGAAUUUUCGGUUCGGAUUUUGAAAAUUCACUUCUCAGGAUCCCUCUAGCUGACAUCCCUCUUGGAAUUUUUUUAUUAACAGUCUUAGAAAAUACUAUAAUUAUAAAAGUAGUCCUCUAAAAAAUUUGUUUACAAAAUUAGGUUUAUACGGUGAAUGAAUUACCGCUUUAUAAAUACGGUAAAUCAUCAACUACUUUCUUCACAUGAUUAAAACUAUUUUAAGUGUUUAAUAUUAUACAUCUUUUGAAGUUUAGAUAUAAAAAAUAUAUAAAUUAGAAUAAAAGCGGUGAAUCAUUUACAAUUUUUAAAAAGCAGUAAAUGAUUCACAAUUUUUAUCAUUCUAUUUUUAUAAAUAAAAAUUUUGAAAAGUAGAGCUACUAUGCUAUCGAAAGUAUAAAGGACAUACUGUUUCUGACCUUUUGGCCCUUAGAUCAACCUUUUUGAUCGUUUUUAAUUUUUGGAUUAAUAUUACUAUCCUAUAGGGAGCACUCAACCAUGGGGGGACCGCAAUCAUCCCAAUCAUACAAUGCUUGAUUCAAGAGCUAAAAAGUCGAAAAUAUCAAGUUCUCUGUGCUUUCGAUAGCAUAGUAGCUCUAUAUAAUUUUGAAUACUCAUUUUUAUAUUUAAAAGUUUUGAGUAAACUUCAAAUGCUAAUCCUGUGGUUUCACACUUUCUUACUUUACCAUCCUACAAUUUAAAGUGUAUCAAUUUAGUGUCAUGUGAUUUUUUUUUUUUUUUUUCUUCAUCCAUUCUAUUAACUUUUCGUUAAAUCAUAUAAAAAAAAAAAACCUUCAAAUACCCUUUCUAUAGAUUAUUAAAAAUUCACUUAGUAGACUCGAGACUCAAGACUGAGAGAGAGAGAGAGAGAGAGAGAGAGAGUGGGGAUGUCGCGGGAGAGCGUGGUAGUGGUGCCCCUGCGGCGCCCCGUGGACCGCGGGUACCUGAUCAACCCCGACGCCGAGCGCGACGUGUGGGACCGCGUCCUGCGCGGGCUCCUCCGCGCCGACCCCUCCCGCUCCUCCCUCCUGCUGGUCGAGCCCCUCUUCAACCCGCCGUCCCUGCAGCGCGCCGCCGACGAGCUCGUCUUCGAGGAGUUCGGCUUCCGCUCGCUCUGCGUCGCCGACCCGCCCUCGCUCGUCCACCUCUACGAGGCCAGCCGGCGGGCCGGCGCGGCGCAGUGCAGCCUCGUCGUCGACUGCGGGUUCUCGUUCACGCACGCGGCGCCCGUGCUCCACAACCUCACGCUCAACUACGCCGUGCGCCGCAUGGACCUCGGCGGCAAGGCGCUCACCAACUUCCUCAAGGAGCUCGUCUCCUACCGCUCCCUCAACGUCAUGGACGAGACCCUCCUCAUCGACCACGCCAAGGAGUCCCUCUGCUUCGUCUCCCUCGACGUCCCCCGCGACCUCUCCCUCGCCAGGUCCUCCUCCUCCUCCUCCUUCCCAGAUGGAGACUACGCAUUCUAGAACUACUCUAACGCUCUUAAUCUUUUGGAUCUAGCCACUGCCAAAAUACUAUAAUGCUAUAGCCGGAUAAAGACACUCACGAGCAUCAGGCGAUGUGAGACUAGUCUCGUUAGCCUUAGCCGACCUUACGGCGAGCUGCCGCGCUCCACCCACAACGGUCGUAGGUGGGGGAGGUGCACUCUUCCUGAUGUUUAAUCCUGGCUCAGUCGAGAUUUAUCUCACACUUUCGGCUGGUGAUUGACUAUGAUACCAACUGUGGCAUCUCGUUUCCCACGAGAUCGCCCAUCCUAAAACUUUUCUAGUCCUAGCACACUUAAUAGUCUUAACCUUUUGAGUCUAGUCAUCAUUCAAAAUGCUACAGUCGGGUUAAGAGCUUUAGCCCUAUUAUGACUUAUAUAUUAGGCUAUUCCAAAUCCAAGAGGGCACCACAUUAUCCUUCCCACAUGCCUCAAAAGUUUGGUUUUUUCAUUAGCUGCCGCUUUGUAAGAGAGUCCCGAAUUCAGAGAAUCCAAUUGUUUUUUCAUUCUUUGUCUUUGAGCGUACUCCGUGUUAUCCAAGAAAAUGACUUUGAGGGAUUUCUUCAAACACAUCAUUUUAUACCAAGGAUUUGAGUGCUCACUGGCACGGGCCCUAUUCAUUGUGCCGUAUCUUGCCAACAAGAUGUCGGCAUGAUGCACCUGUGUUGAUGUCACGACUUAAAACCAUCUUUUCUUUAAAUUAGUAAGUAGUUUCCUCAAUAAUGUUAAAAAGAUUUGAUACAGAUACAUAAUAAACAAUUAAAAUAUUUUAUUGCUAAAAAAUAAAUAUUUAAUACUAAUAUAUGUCGGCACACAUUUAUUUUUUAUGAUCGGCACGGUCCGCAUCUGAAUCCUUGUUUUAUUCUUAGCUCACUUGUACCGGAGUUGAAAAUGUGACAUCAAAAAAGUAAAAAAAAAAAAAAAAAAAAAAAAUUGUACCAGGCAUAUGGUUCUAAUAAAGAUGUUGAUGGUCAAAUUUGUGCUCUAAUUGUCCUUUAUAUUUCUGAAAGGAAGCUGAUCUAUGCCUUGUUUCUUUUCGGAAGAUUUAACCGGAAAGCUUGCCUUUUCUGCAAGCCUCUGAUGGUAUUUUAUACUGGGUAUUUUACAGGAGAUCUGGGAAAGACAACCCGUUCAGGUGUACCUAUGUGCUGCCUGACGGCAUCACUCAUACAAAAGGAUUUGUGAAGGACUGGGAUGAAGCACAGAGGUAUCUCUCUCUCUCGGAUGGAGGCCUGACUGCAAAUUCGGUUUUGAAUAAGGUAGUUGAUUCUCGCGGUGAUGCAGACAAUGAUGACGAUCAUCGGCCAAAAGUCGACUUGACUAAAAAUGUAACAUUUUUCUCCCCGUUUCUUGUCUACAGGAUUUCAUAUAGGUUUUCCAUCUUAGAAGCCCUUCUUUAUGCAGGAAUUUCAAUUGACAAACGAGCGGUUCCUUGUGCCUGAGAUGCUUUUUCAUCCAGCUGAUCUGGGUUUGUAUUUCAUCAAAUUGUGGAACUGUUCUUAUUUACAUCUAAAAAUAAACCUGGCAUAUUUUGAUAAUCUCACUUAACUAUGGAGGACUGAGAAGUUAGAUAAAAGAGUACGAUGGAUAGAGGAGUUGCUGUCCUGCAAUAAUUAGAGUUGAUAAAUUGUUCUCAAACUUUGAUUGCCAAUGUUCCUUAAAGGGUAAAUUGCGCGUAUGGUCCUCGAACUAUGAGGCAGGUGACACUUUAGUCCUCAAACUUUAAUUUGUUUGUAAUUUUUGGCUAGAGCUUUUAGAAUUGUUGCAAUCAAAUUUUAUAACCCAAUUUAGUUGACUAAAUAUUGAUGCAUUGCUGAUGUAAAAGUGAUAUAGUAUCUUAAUUAUUGGCGCAUCAUUAAUCACAUUCACAAUAUUGCUACAUUAUUGCUACGUUAGCAAUACAUUAAUAUUCAGUCAAUUAAAUUGGAUUGCAAAGUUCGAGCCAGAAAUUAUAACUAAUUAAAGUUUGAGGACCAAAGUGUUACCCACCUCAUAGUUUACUUAAAUUUUGAGGUUCCAUAUAAACUGACUUCUCCAAUUACAGGAUGUUAGAACUUAUUUUUCCCUCUUCUCUCACACUUUCAACCCUCCACAAUGAGAGAUAUGAUAUGGAUUUGAGAAACCUCUGGCAUCCUAAUGGCUGCCAAUAGUAAAGUUCCUUCAAACUCUAACUGAUAAUUGCUUGCGAAUGAACAUUAGAGUUGCAGUUUUUUUGACUACAAUGUCAGGUUGAAUGCUAAUGAAAAUAUAGGAUGUAGUGCCUGUAUGUCCAUUGCUAAAUAAAUUAUUGUGAAAUCAGUAAAAUGUUUAACACAUCUAAAUUGAAUGUUUCAUUUCUGGUUAUUGGAUGGGAGAGAUAUGGCAAUCUUAUGCAGCUCUGUUUCUGUUCGUUUCUGCAGUUGUUGUCCUUCGAGAUAAUCUAAUUAGAGUAGUUUACAUUUGUGAGGGCUGCUUGUCCAGAUACUAUAUAUUUCUUUGUUAUAUACUUUUGGGUCCCUGCUGCACUACAAAUGCUGCAUUAUGUGUUAGCUAAAAUUUCGAGUCGAUUAUCUUAAGUGCAACAGUUUUUAGAGCCAUUUCAAUUAGUUUUAGGAAUCUUACAGGUAUGAAUCAAGCUGGACUGGCUGAAUGUAUUGUUCGUGCUGUCAAUGCAUGCCACCCAUAUCUUCAUCCUGUACUUUUUGAGAGGUAUCUUCAUUUCUUCACUACAAUUAUCUGCAAAAGCUCUGGUGCCUCUCUAUUGGCUGAAAAGCAUUUGAUCAGUUUUAUUAUUGUUGAUUUCAUGUCAUAAUGUGUAAUAUGGUUUUGAAUACUUGCAGCAUUAUACUGACUGGCGGAAGUACUUUGUUCCCUCGAUUUGCAGAAAGACUGUAAGCUUCAUUGGUGCAUCAUAUCUGUUUGACAUCGAGUAGAAAGCUAUCCUUUUACGUUUAUCUUUCUGCAUGCAGAGAAAGAGAGCUUCGACCUCUCGUGCCUGAUAACUACAAAGUGAAGAUAACUACUCAAGAGAAGUAUUGAGCUACUUUCAUUCUGAACCGAACUUAUUUAAUUUUUGUCUUUUCUACUGUUGACACUCAUGUUUAACUGUCAUCAUCAGCCCUAUUUUGGGAGUUUGGAGAGGCGGAUCGCUGUUAGCAUCUAGCCCUGAUUUUGAAUCAAUGUGUGUCACAAAGGCGGAGUAUGAGGAGAUGGGAUCAAGCCGAUGUCGCCGGCGUUUUUUUCACUGAAGUUUCUUUAUUGGAAUAUUAUAGUUGUACAUAUCUCCCGUGGCCAAUGGAAAGCUGCAUGGUGACAUGGUGGAAAUCUAUGCAGCAGGAAGAAGCACCAAGAUUUCAGGCAAGUUAAUUAUUCUAAUUCUUUGAGGCCUUAUUUCAUUGCUGGUUAUUGUUUGUGUAGGGUGUACUGCUUGAGAAAUAGUGAAGGUAGAUUAAUGUGGAGGUUGGUAUUGGAAGUGUGAAAUUUCUGAGACAUCAAUAGUCUCCUCAAGGGUCUUUUCUGUAGCAAUAGAAAAAUAAGGACAAUCAACCUGUGAAGAAAACCAUCAUUUGCUCAAAAGUUCUCUCAGAAUUUCUUCUACAUCCUAUGAAAGCUUCUAUAUUGUAUAUGACCUUUUAUAUCUGUUAAACUAAUAAUAUAUCAUAUAAAUCAUGAAACAGGGAUUAGCAAGGAUUGGAAAAGGGUUGAUCUUGUGCCAUCUGCAGCAUAUAGGCAUUGGAAUGCUGCAAAAUGGAUGAUAUUUUGUGACUGUAUUCAUCUUGUGGCUCCUCCUAUGCCUUACACGUCAGCCAUCAUAUGUUUUCAUAUUAAAAAGCCAUUCUAGUAGUUGCCAUUCAUGGGACAUCAUUGCGGCGGUUGAACAUUAUAAAUCAGUUUUAAUAAUUCAUAUGAAAUUGAUUGAGGCCUGUAUAGUCCUCUACUUGAGAGGCAGGAGCCUGUUGCGAGUGCCAAGUUGGUCUAUUUUGAGUCAAUUUCAGAUGUCAGCUGGUAGAAUCCCCUGUUUGUCGGUUGUGAUCUUCUUCCAAAGAUGUCAGUUUUGAGUUGGAUGUUCUUAUCUGUUUGAGCUGAUAUUCGUAUGAAUUUAAUGGACUUUUUGUAUGCGAGGCUAUCAAUUUUUACUACCUUAUUAUAAAUUGAAGAAAGGGCAUCUCAAAUACUGGUCCUUGUUCAGGCAAUGACAUCUAAAUUCUAUAUUAUACUCUGUGACAGCUAUGCUUUGAAUCUGAUGGAAGUAAGGCCUAGUUUGGUAAUUUGGUGGCUAAAAGUAUCAUUUUUAUACUAUAAACAGUCCAAAAAAUUCAAAAGCGCUUAUAAUCUUCCUUCCUCCAAUGUUUUAAAAUUACGGUUGCAACCGCCACUAGAGAAGCAUGUGGUUACAUGCUUCUCCGGUGGCGAACCACAUGCUUCUCCAGGUGGCAGUUGCAACCGCAAUUUUAUAUUAUAAAAGAAGAGAAGAUUGAAAGCGCUUUCGGAAUUUGGAUCUCUUUAUAGUAUAAUAGUGCUUUUGGCUACCACAUUACCAAACUAGGCCUCGGUGCUUCUCAUGUUGCUAGGAACAGAGUUCAUAAACAAGAAUCAUGGGCGAAUAGCUUUUUUGUCCCAUCAUUAGGAGCAGCAAGAUCUUGUAGGAUUACCUGCAUUCUGCAAUAGUUAGGCGAAUUGAUCGGUACAUUAGAUUAGUGCUGGAUUUUCAUGUGCACCCUUCCGUUUGAUGAAGGAAAAACAUAAAAUGUACGUAGUUAUGGACUAUUGUUAUAAUAGAGCAAGUGUUUUGUUUUAAACUCGGGUGAUCAAGUUAUCGCAUGAGCAGUUGCACGAGUAUUCUCGGGGCAUUUUUUCCAUUUGUCUGCAGUUCACAAUACUCGGAAGUCGGGAGUAUAAUAGUGCUUUUGGCUACCACAUUACCAAACUAGGCCUCGGUGCUUCUCAUGUUGCUAGGAACAGAGUUCAUAAACAAGAAUCAUGGGCGAAUAGCUUUUUUGUCCCAUCAUUAGGAGCAGCAAGAUCUUGUAGGAUUACCUGCAUUCUGCAAUAGUUAGGCGAAUUGAUCGGUACAUUAGAUUAGUGCUGGAUUUUCAUGUGCACCCUUCCGUUUGAUGAAGGAAAAACAUAAAAUGUACGUAGUUAUGGACUAUUGUUAUAAUAGAGCAAGUGUUUUGUUUUAAACUCGGGUGAUCAAGUUAUCGCAUGAGCAGUUGCAUGAGUAUUCUCGGGGCAUUUUUUCCAUUUGUCUGCACUUCACAAUACUCGGAAGUCGGGAAGCUCUUUUUGCUCUUGGUGUUCGCCACACAAAUUGUAAGAACCACCUCUCAACAAGUUGACUCAAUGCUUUAUAACAUCUUGGUUCUGUCCGUUAAAGUAUUUGAUAAUAUGUGUGCAUGGUCUCUUUAGUGAUUGUUUAGGGUACAUUGUACUUUUGAUGAUGGAUAAAGUAUUAUAGUUUCACUGGGUAACUAACUUGUUACUAACCUAUUGACCAACUUACAUAUACAGGAACAUUAUCGCUUUUCAUAUGCCAUUUUCCCCCUCAUAGGUACUUUUUUCAGUAACGGAAUUUUACUGUCUGACAUAAAUAAUUGUAAGAUUUGUUCAUGGUAACUACUCUUUCAACCGCUCUACUAAUUAUGAGGUAAAUUAAUUUCUGUUAUUUGCUUCAAAAAAGUAAUAUUUCUAUGAUUUGAUUAUGCGAGUGUAUACAAUGAUGUAUCUGUUGACUGAAUAUUACAAUAGUGCUAAGAGGAGAAGUGAUAGGUUUCUCUACCGAAUUAAAUCCUUGUUAUAAGCUGGAUCCUAUGAUCUAGAUGCGAUUUCACUUUCCUGUUUUGUGGAGUUUUGUUUAAGACCAAUUUGAACUUUUCUUAGGUAAGGGCUCCACGGCUGCUGCAAGCUGUUUUAGCAUUAUAGGGAGAUCUCUACCUGUACAACCUUUCUAAACUUGUGUUCAACGAACAUGUUCCACGACGGGCGGUAUCCUUUUCCUUUUUAUUUAGUUUGAUCAACUUAAUAAUUCUUGAUUUUGUUUUAAAGCUAACUGCUAAUGUCGCUCUGAUAUUGCUCUUUUCUGAGUUUGUGAACUAAUCCAUGUCUUUCCGUAUUACUCGAACUUUAUCAAAUAGCUUGGAAACAGUGCCGACCAUGAUAGGACUGUUCUAUUUGUUUUCAUCAAUUGUUUCCUCCAAUCAAGUCCCAGUUGCUUCAAGGAAACUGGCUUUAAUUAUUGUAGCAUUGGUUAGUGCUGUUCGGCCUACAAGUGCUAUAACAUCGCUGUAUGUUGGUUGGGUUGCUGAAUCUCAUUAGGAUGCAGUCAAAAUUGCAAUUCCUGUUCCUUGAUGUAGUCCCGAUAGGUUAGGUAAAACCCAGAUGCCGCAGCAUAGUUGAUCGCAGUUCCAAUCACAAUGCAUAGUUGUAUCUCAUUUCUGAUUAUUGAAUUCAUCUAUUGACCUAGGAUUACUGCAUUCUGACUUGGAGUACGAUCAACUGGUUCAUGGAUGACGCAUUUUCUUCGAUGUUUCCUUUAUUAUCAAUUCUCUUUUGUUGUAUUUUCCUCUAUUCUUAGCAAUUUUUGCUGCUAAAUAGGGGUCUAGUGCUUGCAGCUACAAUGCUUCUUAGAUAGGUGGAUGUAUGGCUCACGCAUUAUUAUGCCUCUUAAUUUUCUUAAAUUUAAUUUUCUUUCUUCUGGAAGGGUAUGGAACCAUCAAUUUUAUUGGUCUUUAUUUCACCCAGGAAUUUUUCUCCAUGAUUUGGCCUUUGACUCUCUCUCUCUUUUAUAGUGAUUUGAAUAUUUUUUUUUUUUUAACUUCUUGUUAUUUAGCAGUGUAUGAAAGUGGAAUUUGGGAAAGUAAAUAUUUAAUGUGUGAUUUGUUUGUUUGCUUAGAAAUGUUAUGAACGAAUGCUUGUAUCGCUUUCUUUACCUCUUAAAAGGGGUAGUUUCACUCUCUUGGUCACUUCAAUCUUGUAAUGUUUCAGAUAUGUAUGUUCAUGGUGCCUGCUAUCUUUUGCUGUAUGAGUUUGCCCUCCAAAAUUUGUGCUUGAUCUUUAGUGUACAUGUCUGCAUAAUAGUAUGUGACAUGUGAUUGUGUAUCAUUAGGCAAAUUAGACCAUUGGUUCCUAAGCAAUUGCUUUGGUGUAAUGUCCCAAUAGUCCCACAUUGGAUUGGAUUUCUAAUUUGUAUGUCUGUGGUUUGGGUUUGAAUAGUCUGUGUAAUAAUUUGGCUUAAGCAUCUUGGGUUGGUGGCUUGGAUCUAACGAGAUAUUAUUGCUAGCGGGUCGGGUCGUUAUAACAGGUGUUAGAGCCGAAUACUAGCCGAAAGUGUGAGAACUAAGUGUUAUGCGGGACAGAAUGCUACACCAAUGGGUUUGGUGGGCGCCACCUCUUGAACCUGUAGGACUUAUCUCUAGAAUCUCACACCGUUUGGUAAUUUUGGUGUAUAUUAUUGUCUGUUCUGGUUUGGACCCAACAAGGACAUUACGGUCUAAACAGGAAAAGUUUGUAAUGCCUCAAUAGUCCUACAUUGGAUGAAAAAAUGAUUCUGAUUGAAAUAUAUGAGGCUUCGUAUGCUAGUAAUAAUAAUUGGAUUUAAGCAUUUUGGAUAGAUGGUUUAGACCUAAAGAGUUAUUAUUGUUAGCGGGUCGGGUCAUUAUAUUUAGUUCUUAACCGUUUAAUUUGUUGCUCUAGGAGGCUUGAACUUUUGAAAUGUUGUAGUAUGGAGAAAUGGAACUCUAGUGCGGCAUGUGUUGUAAUUGAUCAGUAAACCAUAAGCUGUAAUUGCUCUGUUUGGUUUAGGUUCGGUUGAUUUUUGUUUUAGAACCAAAUCGGGAACAUUCCUAAUGGCCCAUUGCGUUGGGUCAAGCUUAACUGAGGCUUAGUUUGGUAUUGAGGUCUAUCCGACGUUGUUAGAUAAAAUAGUUAGGAAAAAAGUAUAUAGGGAUAUGCUUCUGCGUUCUCCGGUCGGAUUGUAGAAAGUAUAUCAUAAUCAAUUCAUCGCAAUAUGCGGAAUGAAAUAUUACGAAAACAAAUAUGGUAUUUUUUCAUCGUAUUUUCUCACCGCAUGUAACGCAAUCUUUCUGCAAUCUCAAACGAAGUCUAAAACAAGCUUAACUAAAACUAGAUCUUUGCCGAUGUACUCAGUACCAUUAUUAAGGCAUGCUUGCAGUACAAUCAUUUCAUUAUAAAGUCAUUUUAGGAGAAAGAUUUUAUUUUAAUUUUAAAGAUGAAAUUCAGUUUGUGCAGUGGUUGUUAUCGUCAAGAGAUGCUGGCUCUAAAGUUAGGAGUUAGAUCCCUCUUUGUGCCCCAAGUUUUUUGGGUUAAAAAAAAUAAAUGAAAAAAAAAAUGACACCAUUCAAAUGGAAAUGAAAAGGACUUAUUUACAAAAUAAUUUUCUAAAUUUUUGUAAUUUGCGAAAUAAUUUUACCAAAUUUAUAUUUGGCAAACUAAUCCUUUCUUCGCCAUGUAGAAUAUAAUGACCCGAUUCGCUAGCAAUAAUAACUCGUUAUUAUUACUAGGGUGGAAUACUUUUAUUUAUAAUCCCACAUCGUGGAAUACUUUUGGAAUACUUUUAUAAACCCACCGAUGUGGGACCCUAAACACGUAGGGGCCAAGAUGACCAGACGAUGCCUUUGUCAUUUCGAGACUUAUCUCGCUGUCAUUUCGAGACUUAUCUCGCUAGUGUUUGUUAUUCCGAUUCUGACUUAGCCUGUCAAUUACUGAUCCUAGCUUAGUCUGUCAUUCCAACACUAGCUCAGCUAAAACUCAUCUCACACUUUCGGAUGGUGAACUGGCUCUAUACCAAAUGUAACGAUCAAACCCAGUAGUAACAAUAACUCGUUGGGUCCAAACCACCGGCCCAGAAUGGUUAAGCUCAAUUAUUAUUACUAGGGUGAAAUUCUCUUAUAAAUCCAAUGACAACCACAUUUCCAUCCGAUGUGGGACUAUUGGGGCGUCACAUAAAAUUUUUCUUUGAAAUACGGUGAAUCGUUCACCGCAUUCUGAAAGUUUUUCAGACCUUUUAAAGGCGGUGAAUCGGUCACCGCAUUUAUUAAAAUGGUUAAUAAUUCACCGUCUUCAUAAUUGUUAGAAUUGUACGCAGAUAAUGAGGUUGUUAGGAUUAUAUAUGGAUUAUUAUAAUUUUAUUUGAUUGUGAGGAUUGUAUGAUAGAUUAUUAGGAUUUUCAUGUUGUUAAGAUUAUAUUUGAUUUGUUGAAAUUUUUAUAUGGUCGUUAGGAUUAUAUAUGAGAUAUAAAAAGAAACAGUAAAUAAGUAAAAGAUGGUGAAUGAUUCACCGCUUUUAUGGACAAUUAGGAAAACGGUGGAUUAUUAACCAUCUUUAUAAAGGCGGUAAAUCGUUCACGUUUUUAAGAAAAAUUUUUAACGUGGCAAAAAAAGGGUUAGUUUGUCCAAAAUUUUUUUUUUAAGAAUUAUUUAUCUAAUUAGAAAAUUUUAUAAGGCCAUUUUGAAAAGAAAGUCCAAAUGAAAACUUGUGACACCAUUUAAAUGGAAGAACACUUUGUCUUGUGACCAUAGUUAGUUAAUUCGGAUUCGGCAAAAAUUUGGUACGGAUAUUAUAUGCAUAAAAUUCGUUUUCUAAUUUUUAAAUUUGUUGAAAAAUUCAGCUUAAAAAACAGCUUCGGUAUAAAAUAUAAAAUAUAAGAUAUAAAAUAUAAGAUAAUUUAUAUUUAAAAAUAUAAAUUAUAAAUUUUUUAUUCAUAUUUUUAAUAAUUCGGCAAUAAUUCGUGAAUUAUUCGCGAAUAAUUCGGCUGGCCCAAAAAUUCGCGAAUAAUUCACUUUCUUUGGAAAAAUUUCGUAAACGGACUGUUUAAUUUGAAUUUUCAAUAAUUCGCGAAUAAUUCACGAAUUUACUAACUAGGCUUGUGCUCCCACUUUUUAGAUAUAAUAAUAUGCUUGGGUAUACCCUGAGGUUUAAAACAAAAACGAGCUCAUAAAAAGUCAGAAAAAAAAAAAGCUAAAAUACAGAACACUUUACUUUACUGUAAAUAUUUGUUUUUUCACUUUUCUUUUUUCACUUUCGAAAAUCUAUAUUUUAGUCCCUCAAAAUUCUAAGUUGAUGCAUUUAGACUUUCUCUAUUAGGAUUCCUUCAUUAUUUCGUCUAUUUUUUUAUAAUUUAUAUUCAAAAUACUCUUAACAAUGAUAUAAAUUUAUAUAAAAAAAAUUUUCGUUAUAGAAGAAAUAAUGGUAAUUUGGUUCUUUCUCCCUUUUCAUUAAUAUCGUAAUCCUCAAAAAAUAUUUUUAAAAUUUUAAGAAGGCAAAAUAUAGGUGUUUGAAAGCUAGUAAAAAAUAAAAAAGUAUUUACAGAAAAUUUUUAUGUAUUUUAGCUUUUUUUUAACUAUAAUUUAUUUAAAUAUUUUUAUAAACUAAAUAUUAGUGUGUAAAAUUUACACUCCGUUUUAGGUGCACAAGCUGACACGUGACCAUCUCAAAAUGGGCCAAAUGUUGGAUUGUUGAAUUGUCACACAAUUUGCUCCGGUUUUUGUUCUUAAAUGCAUGUAUCAAGGUUCGAACCACCGACUUCUUUAUUAUAUUUAUGAGAGAUUAAUUUGUACAGUAUAGAUCAGCAUAUUAGUGGCAAGAGAGAUUUUCAACAAUAAUUUAAAAAUAGAGUCGAACCACCCAAUUCGACCUGCCUGACCGUGACCUAGUCUAUAUAGUGGUCCGGUUCAACUCUUUGAACCAGAUAAGCCAAAAAUCGCUUUGGCUCGUUAGAACCGCUGAACCAAUCUAAUUUUCAUCAAAUUAGCCUAAUUUUUUUAAUCAAGUCAUAUUAAAAUUCAAUGGCUUACAAUUAAUUUAGCUGAUUUUAUUUUUUUUAGUUUAGAUUAGUCUCGUAAAAUAUAAAACUUGAAUACUUUAUAUUUACUAUAAAAUAAAAUUAAAAAUAAUACUAAUUAAAUAUUUGUGAUGUUUUGCUGACGUUACAUAUUGAAUUAGUGGUGCUUAGUCAUACUUUUGAGUUGUUAUUUGACCUGAUUUUUAAAACAUUAGGUUUUAUGGCUUGUGGAAUGCGUUUCCGGUUGAUGUUCAUCCUUUCGUUGACGUAGGAGGAAGUAUGGUGUGUCACACUUACACCAUAUCAUCAGUAAUAAGUCAAUCACAACUCUUUUUUUUAAAAGAAAAAUAUAAUAAAAAUAAUAAGGCCAAUUUGCAUAAAAAAAAUUAUAAAUUUUGAGCUUUUGCAAAACUGGGCCGCCUUUUUUGAUUUUGCAGAUUCGGUUCGAAUUUUCAGCAAACUGACCAAAAUAUUCUUAUUAUUUUUUCUCUCUCCUCUUCUUUUCUCUCGUUCAUUUUUUUUCUCUCACCGAAAAAAGCAGCGGAGGCAGAGGCCGAGGCGGAAACGGCCCGCCUCGCCUCUCACCUUUAUGCUCUCGCCCUUGCCUUUGCCCUUGCCCGUGCAUCCCCCACCUUUCUCAUCUCCGACCUCGUCGAGGUCGCGUCGCGACUCUUUUUUUUUUNUCCUCUCCGACUCUCCUUCACCAUCUCCGACGACUACGCUUCUCUCAUCCUUCCCCGCCCUUCUCGUCCUCUCCCUCUCCCUCCUUCUCUGCCGCCUCCGACGGUGACGUAUCUUCGCCGAUGCCGACACCGUGGAGGUUACUGCUGCGCUGCAGCCUCGGAGUGGAGGGUCCUUAGCGGCGUCGUCACCGUCGCCGUGGUCGUUGGCAGAGAGGAGUGACAAAAAAAAGAAAUUAUAGAAGAAGCGAGAAAAAAAAUAAAGAUAAAAAAUUACAGAAAAAAACGAUGAAGAUAAAAAAAUUGUACCGUUAAAAUAAAAUUGUACUGUUUUAAAAUAACGUUGUACUAUUAUGGAUAUAAGUUGCACUACUUAAGAUAUAAACUGCAGCUUUAAGAUAAAAAUUACACUCUUUAAAAAAAAAUUACACUUUUUGGGAGAUAUUUACACUGUUUUUUUCUCUCAUUGCACUCUUUCAGAUAUAAACUGUAUCCAUUAAGAUAAAAGUUAUACUCUUUAAACGAAAGUUGUACUUUUUGAGAGAUAUUUACACUUUUUUUCUCUUGUUGCACUCUUUAAGAUGUAAACUGCACCUCUUUAAGAGAUAUUUAUACUGUUUCUUUUCUUGUUGCACUGUUUCUUCUCUUGUUACACUAUUUUCUUCUCCUAAAGGGUGCAGUUUAAGAGGAGAAACAGUGUAAUAAGAGAACAAAUAAUACAACAAGAGGAAAAAUAGUGCAACAAGAGAAGAAACAGUAUAAAUAUCUCUUAAAAGAGUGCUGUUUACAUCUCAAAGGGUGCAAUAAAAAAAAAAAUAGUAUAAAUAUCUCUCAAAGAGUGCAACUUUCGUUUAAAGAGUAUAACUUUCAUCUUAAUAGAUGCAGUUUACAUCUGAAAAAUUGUAAUAAGAGGAGAAACAGUAUAAAUAUCUUUUAAAAAAUGUAAUUUUUAUUUAAAGAGUGUAAUUUUUAUCUUAAAGUUGUAGUUUACAUAUUAAGUAGUGCAACUUAUAUCUAUAAUAGUGCAACGUUCUUUUAAAACAGUAUAAUUUUUUUUUUAACGGUGCAAUUUCAUCUUCAUCUUUUUUUUCUAUAAUUUUUAUCUUUAUUUUUUUUUCUUACUUUUUCUAUAAUUUUUUUUUGUCACCCCUCUCUGCUAACGGACAUGGCGCCGGCGACGACGCUGCUAAGGACCCCCUGCUCCAAGGCUACAGUGCCACAGUGACCUCCACGGUGUCGGCGUUGGCGAACAUGCAUCGUCGUCGAAGGCGGCAGAGGAGGAGGAGGGAGAAGGAGAGGACGAGAAGGGUGGGGAAGGAUGAAAGAGGCGUCGUCGUCGGAGGCAGGGAAGGAGAGUUGGAGAGGGAAAAAAAAAACAAGAGUCGCAGCGCGGCCUCGGCGAUGUAGAAUGAGGGCAAGGGCGAGAGCAUGAGGGUAAGAGACGAGACGAGCCGUUUUUGCUUCUGUCUCUGCCUCCACUGCCUCUUCGGCAAGAGGAAAAAAAAAUGAACGAGAGAAAAAAAGAUGAGAGAGAAAGAGGAGAGAGAAAAAAUAAUCAGUUUGUUGAAAAUUCGGUCCGAAGCUGUAAAAUAAAAAAAAGUGGCCUAUUUUUAUAAAAGCGCAAAAUUAGUGAAUUUUUUAUACAAAUUGGCCUAAAAUAAAUAAAUUUUAAAAAUUAAUUUUAUUGAUUAAGAACGUGACAUUACUAAUAUAAUCAACUUAUUUUAAAUACACAAGGGCCUCGGGACCAACAAUAUGCAGGGACUGAACCACAUGUAUGAUGAUUGACUAGAAAAAUAAUAUUAAUAAAGAGAAAUAAUUCUAAUAGUUUUUUAUUUUUUACAAUUUGAGAAAAGUGACAAAAAAAGAUUGGCUCACCCGAAAAAUAAAAUAAAAUAAUUGUUUGGUUGAUCUAAUAAUGUAAGUUAAGCUAAUUAAAGCAUUAUACAAUCCAUGUUUUGGGCCUAUGAAAUCAUAUCAUUGAAUAUAAAUUAGACACACUUGCGAAAAAAAAAAAAAAGAGCAAAGAAACAAAAAAUGUAUGAAGAGCCCCCUCAAUUAUAAGACAUUUUGAAUUGACCAUGCCGACUUUAUUUUUUAAUAAAACCUUCUCAACUUUUUUUUUUUUUUUUAUAAUUAAGUGAUUUAUUAUUUUUUUUAGAACUCCAAGUUAGAGUUUGGAGUGUUUUGUCAUGGAGAUUCGCUCGUUUAGUCCGUGCGACGUUCGCCUUCUUUCGUGAAGUGAAUAAGUCUAUCUCUUUACUUGCUAAGUCAGAAGCUGAUCGUCCGAAAACUAAAUACAAGAGAGAGAGAGUUUGAGGAAUAUUAUAUAUUGAUAGAAGUUGAGAGUACAACUGAUUUUUUAAUAAGAGUGGAUGGAGGCCACAUCCUUAUAUAGGCCACUCGCCACCCAAGCUACAAAUGAAAAGAUGCCAAGUGACGCAUAACUAUAUGGUAAAAGAAGGAUGCUACGUGCUCAUAGGAAACUACAUUUAUUGCCCAUCUAGAAAUUUUUAGGGACUCUUGACCCUGCAGCAUCCGCACCAUCAAUCUUAAUAUCCGCGUAGAAGCUUAUAGAAUGUCCCAGCAAAACCUUCGACAGAAUAGUUCUUCGGAGAUUAGGCCGCUGUCAAGGAGAAGUCAGCAGAAAAUAUUUUGUUCGUAACAGUUUACUGACUAUUGAGGAUCAUCGUUGAAUUGAGAAAGAUUGUGGGAUUAUUUUUACUGAGAAUUUGAUCUCAAAAGUUGUAAUGAUGUAAAGAUGUUCGCUGCUUAAAACUUGAUUGAUUGCUUCGCAAGUGGUGGAGUGGCGGCUUGUUUAUCUUUUUAUGCAUGUUGUUUUAUUUGCGAGAUUUUUUUUCUUUUCUUUUUACGGAGUUGUUUGCCUGGUAUGAAAUUUUAGUUUGAUUUAGAGAGUUGUCGACUCAAAUGUUUACAUUAUAUUCCUUAAAGGAAUUGAAUUGCAUAAAAAAUCACCAUAUAUUCUGCGGUCAAUAAAGAGAUAGAUUUUAAUAAAAAAAAAAUUGAAAAUUUUCCUAAAUUCAUUAUUAAUUUUGUCCAAUUUAAUAAUUUUAGUUACUUCUAAUAAAUAAAAUAGAUUAAUAGAGUUAUCAAACUUGAUAAAGUUUUAAUUUCACUAAAUGUAAAAAAUUUAAAUUAAAAAAAAAAUAGAAAUUGAGAUGACAUUGUAAACAAGUCUAUUUCAAAAUAUCCUAAAUUUUGGCAGACGGACAGAUUGGACAACCCGCAGACGGGUCAUCGUAUUUGCGGGUUAAACAGAUACGGAUAAAAUUCACUCGUAAGUUUUUGGAUAGCCAACAUCUUUACUAAUACUAGCGAGCAAGUGGACGAGCAGGUAUGCGGGUUACCGACAAGGUACUUUUUUUUUAUUUUUUUCUUUUUGUUCUUAUAGUUUUCAAACACAAAUAACAUGUAUAUAUUUUUUAAAAGAUCAAAAUAUAAUUUAUUAUUAAAAACAACACAUUAAACAACAGACACUACAACAUAAUUAGGUUAUAGGGACACAUGUUUGGGACACUUUUGAGUAAGUGUCCCAUUUAUGCUAAAACUUAGAAACACACCUACUAAUGCCUAAAUAUAAAGCCCAAUCCAACAAAAAAUAAAAGAUUACUUUACUGAACCCACCACACCCAGUCCAAUUGGCCCGAUUACAAACAGAAAAGAAAAAAAAAAGAAAAAUCAAUUACCAUCUUGUCUUCUCUCUUCACUCAAUCCACUGAAAUUCUAGACGAAGAGCCUUUACUGUCGUCCUUCUCCGCCACCGCAAUUAACGAGAUAGAGUUUCGGCGGUUGCUAAAUGCUUAAAUAAGUGUUAGUAAAUUAGCAGCACACUUUUAGGUUAUAGCGACACUCUUUAACUGUCACUAUAUACCUAGCGACCCCACAUAUAGCAACACUUUUUAAAAGUGUCGGUAAUUUUAGCUAGCAGCACUUUUUUGACAUGUACCUAUAUUUAAAAGUGUCGCUAUAGACCGUUUUUGUUGUAGUGAUAAUAAAGAAAAAAAAAUGACACCAGUAGAAAUUAGUGUGAGAAUUUUGAGGAAGGAUAUGUAAAUAUGGAUCUCUAUGGGUACCCGUGGGUUAUUAAAAAAUGCAUAUAAUUUGAAAAGCACCUUCCAUUUCACCCCAAAAACUUUAGAUAAUGUAAGAGAAAUUAAUAAUCAUACCCAUAAAUUUAUGAAUAACCUGUAUAUUCCGUGGGUACAGAUUUAGGUUGGCGAAUCUAUGCCCAGGCAACCAAGUCUAUAUGGUCUAUAGAUCUAUGCAAUAAUUUUCCUGAGUGGGCAUAUCCAAUCUCCAUCCUAAGUCACCCAUGUCAUGAUAUGUCAUUAUCAUGCAUCAGUGUCCUUUUUUCAUUGGCCUUUUUUUGCAUAAAUAUUGUUGGAUUUUAUUCAAUAAUAAAUUUUAAUAAUAACAAAUAAAUUUGGAAUUUAAUUUAUCACUUAGUAAUUUUAGGUUAUAAUUGAAUUUAAAAUAACUCAAGUCAAAUCGGAAUUGAUCAAAGAUAAUCAUUCAAUCAAAUUGUUUAAAUUGAUCCGAACAACAUCAAAUUGUAACAAAUUGGAUGCAAGUGCCACAACAAUAAUUUGAAGGACUUCUUUGUAAUUUAUUGGAUUUGAGCCGGCCAAUCUAGUCAAGUUGAGAUUAACGUCAAAUUAGUCAUUAUUUUUAAUAUAGUAUGAAAGAGAUUUGAUAUAUGGUAUAAAUUCAAAAAUAAUUUUAUUAUGGCAUAAUUAAAAAAAAUAUGAAAUAUGAUAUAAAUGAGUUUUAUAAGUAUGGAAUUAAUUCAAAAUCUUUUUUACAAAUGUGGAAUUAAUUCAAAAAGUUUUACAUUUGUAGUAUUAAUUAAAAGCAUUGUACGAAUCUAGUAUAAUUUCAAAUGAACUUUUCAAAUGUAGUAAUAUUUCGCCCCCUGCCGUUAGUAAUCCGUUAGGGUUCCGUUUAUAAAAUAUUAUUGUAUUUUUUUAUGCCAAAAAUAUCUUCAGCCUUCUCUUCUGUGAACAUGGUGAGGGGCAAAUUGGUGAGGGGCAAAAUUGUCAUUUUAUCAUCACAGUUCACACCAUGCCCCACUGUGAACAUUUUUUAUUUUAUAAUGGGGUAAAGUGUAUGUUUUUUAAUGACCGGGGGGGAAAGUGAAAAACCGGAUUUUGACAGGAAUGUUUUCUGUAAUUUAGCCUUAUUUUUAAUAUAGUAUGAAAGGGAUUUGAUAUAUGAUAUAAAUUCAAAAAUAAUUUUAUCAUGGCAUAAUUUAAAAAAUAUGAAAUAUGAUAUAAAUGAGUUUUAUAAGUAUGAUAUUAAUUCAAAAGCUUUUUUACAAAUGUGGAAUGAAUUCAAAAAGUUUUACAUUUGUAGUAUUAAUUAAUUAAAAGCAUUUUACAAAUCUAGUAUAAUUUCAAAUGAGCUUUUCAAAUGUAGUAAUAUUUCAAAUGUGGUAUGAAUUCAAAUUUAUUUUGAAAUUAAUUCAAAUACAUUUACAAAUAUAGUUAAAAUUUAAAUUAAAUCAAUUAUACUUUAAUCAUGCCUUUAUUCUAUUUUUGAAAUGAUGGCUAGCAUAUUUAAAGAGGAGCUUGGAUGUUGUUUGAUGUACACAGCUUCAGAAAAAUUUUUCAGGUCCUAAUUGUUCUUUUAAUUUACAAUUGUGAGCUUUAUUGAGAAAUCGUAAUAUAAGUUUUGUAAAGUGUGAUUGUAAGUGGCUUUGGUCUUGCCCUGUUUAAAAGGCUAAGUGAUAGUAAUUAAAUCGGUACCUGAAGGAGAAAAAGAAUUGGAUUGGAGUAAGCAGAAGGCCGAACCAGGAUAAAUCAUCUAUGUCAUCUGCUUUUGAUUUCUUUCUUUUAUUUAGUUGUGUAAUUUUUAUCUUGAUUUAUUUUUACUUGAGUUUUUCUUUUUAGUUGCCAUUUGAUCUGUUAAAAUCGGAACGCCGAAAAAUAGAUCCAGAAAAUAACUUAAUGCAAGAAAAGAAAAGAUAAGCGGAAAGAACACACCGACAUUUACGUGGUUCGGCCAACGGCCUACGUCCACGGGCGAAGACGGAGCAAAUAAUUUUAUUAAUGUCGAAAAGGCGGAGUACAAGAAAAUCUCUCAAAAGACCAAAACUUAAUUAGAUCCGAAACGCCGCAACAAGCAACUCCAAA
rnacentral:lncRNA from 1 species